rnacentral:lncRNA from 1 species
ACCUAAAAAGGACAAAGUUUCUGCGAAGGUCUCUAUAACAAAAUUAAGUCAUAGGGACAUAUUUUAUUUUUGGGACACUUUUAUAUAAGUGUCUCAUUUAUGCGAAAAUUUUUUAAGAAAAUCUACUAAGACUUAAAUAUAAAAUACAGUGACUAAUUGGGUAUACGAUAUAAUCAUAACUAAUUAAUAAAAGAAAUAUUUCAGUAAAAAAUUACUAGCCAUAAAUUUCAGAAAUAAGUAGAAGUGGUAAAGUGAACAUUAAUUCAAAAACUGCAAUUAAAUUUGAACAGUAAAAAGGAAAAAAAAAAGGGAAUAGUAUUAAUCAUUUUUUUCCCGUAAUAAAGCCCUAAGAUGCACAUGGUGUGCAUCCCAUGUUACUAUACAUAGAAAUUUCUUUAGAAUGCAAAAUUGCUCUGUUAAUUAACAUCAGUGUUUUUUUUUCUUAAAUAAUUCUGAUAAAUAUGUAUAGAACUAGAAAAAUAACUAUAUCCAACGAAAGUUAUCGGGCGUAUCGAUAAACCCGCUAAAUAUAUACUCCCUUCGUUCAGGACGAAAAAAUAAAAAUAAUAGAAGCAUAUUUAGUUUUUUACUUUUUUUUUUUAACAUUAUAGUCUGAAAAAAUAUUUUUGCUAAGCUCAAGCCUAAUUCAAAAGUGUUAGGACUACAUAGCAUAAAUCUUAUAUAGUUAUACAAAAGUAAUAUGAAACCUACUUGACACCUCUUAACCUGAAAUGGACAAAGUUUCUGCGAAGGGCCCAGCUAUAGCUUUAGGCAAAACUGUAAAUUAUUAUGACAAUCUAUUCGAAUUUUGUAUAAAAUUAGUACAAUCACUAAUUGGGUAUAUGACAUAUACUCAUAACUAAUAAAAGAUAUAUAUAUAUUUCAGUAAAAAAAAUUACUGGCCAUAAAUUUCACAUGGCAUGCAACCCAUGUUACUGCAUGUACAUAGAAAAUUUCCUGAAAACGCAAUAAAUAACAACAGUGCUUUUUUCUAAAAAAGUUCUGAUAAAAAUAUAUGGGACUAGUAAAAUAAUUCCAAUCCAGUAGAUAUGUCAGUGUAUAAAGCCGGAUGAAAGUAUGACUAAAUCAAAAUUGGCCUACAAAAUAUAAACUAUGAUCUAAUAUCAUAUAUAUUGCAGGACUCGAACAGACCCCAAAAAUAUCAGAUAUGAGAUUAAUAUUCUUAAUAGCUUUUAAUUACUAAUUAUUUUAGUUUUAUUUGCCAAAAAAUAAAGACUAAUAAAUUUGAUGAAAAUAUUAACAAAUCUGAUAAGUCUCAAAACUAUAGACAAAAUUGACUAAAUUCUAAUAAAAAUAUUAGUGAUUUUUCUCUCAUCAUUGUCCCAUAAAACUUGAUUUAAAAAAAAUAAUAAUAAUCUAGUAAUAAACAGCAAAAAAACCUAAUAUUUUUAAUUUUUCGGUCAUAAAAUGUUUAUAAGUUUUAAAUAACUUCUAAUAACUUUCUAAAAUAUUGAGCUAAGUUUAGUUAAACCACAUGUCUAUACACGUGGACCAUGCAAUUUUUUACUCCACUUCCCACUCUAUAAAAGCAACGUGGAAGAAAAACAACCACCAAAGCGUCUCAAUAGCCAUGGCAAUCAAGUUAGUUUUUGUUGUGAUCCUUAUUCUCUUUUCUACCACAGUUGAAGCAAACGUUGGAGUUACCCCAGCAGUAAAUGGGCUUUCCCGAGUCAAACACGAUGGUGAUGGUGCUAAGUGUUGCAUGCAAGGCUGCUGCGGUAAAUGCUGCACAAUGAAUCCAAAUGGACUAUUUGGGGGGAGAUCCAAAUUCGUUCCUUAGGCAAUUUUAUCGUUGUGUGGCACUUGAGUAUUUGUGCAUUGAUGUUGGGUUAUUCUAUGUAGUAGUUUGAUUAUGUUUGUUGUGAUUUCGUUUUUAGAAAGUAUGUAUUGUGUGCUGCCAUAUAGGCACUUUAUGAGUAUGUAUGUUGUUAUAAAUAUGUUGAAAUAUAUUAUUGUAUCACUGAUAAUAUUAUAUAUAUUGAUAUUAAUCCGUCUCUGGAUACACAGAAUGUUUCUUUUGAAUAUUUCUGUACAAGCUAAUCUUUCAAUUGUUGAGAGAAAGUUCAAAUUUUUGAGAUAUAAGGUAUGAAACUAACAUAACACUUAAAUUUUUUUUUAUGCUCACUAGUGGAGUACUUAAGUUCUGCUCACAAAACUGAUUUUAUAGUGGAGUAAAGUCAAGAGCAUUAUAUAAGAAUUUCAUUUUGACAUUUAGGAGUUAAUUUUCACGCGUAAACUCCUUUCUUCUAGUAUCGGUUAUCUUCAGAAAUCUUUAUUCUUUCACUUUUUCGGGAACACCUCGGUUGAGGUUGUUAGUCAACUGGGUAAAAACAGUAUUUGCGGUAAGUAGAAAAAUAGAUCCAGUGUAAUGAAAAAUAAAAAGAGAAGUGCUUAUUUUUCCUUUUGGUGAAAAUGUAUAGAAGAAUGUAUAAACUAUGUAAGUUUCUAAAUUUUGGUUUUUCUACUUAAUCUUUCAAUUUAUUUUAUUUAACCUGGAUGAUUUUCAAUUCAAAAUUUUGGUCAAUUAUUUAUUUUAAUGGAAUUAUAAUUUUGUAAUAGCUUCUAAAUUUAGAAACUCUUAAUUAGCUCUGAUGCUCUAUUAUACUCAUAUUAUAUAUGACAUUAUACAAAUUGGUGUAUAUUUUUUGUUUCGUGCGGUCUUGGGGCAUGACAUGUUCCACAAAUCUGUUCUAUACGACAGGACGGGUUCUAUGGGACGGACCUUCGAGCGUGAAAGAUUCGGUUGACAUCUAUAUUACGAUUCAAACCAAUCCACACUAUUACACCUCCCACUCAUGACCAAAAAUUAGGAAAAUUUUAUUUACAAUGUGAAUUUUCAAUAGAAAUGUACAUAACACACCUACUUUUGAAUCUCAGGAAAUUUCUUGAUCAGAUAAGUACUAACUUACCUCGGCCUCCUAUAAUUCUGAGCCUUUUGCUUUAAACAUUUAAUUAUACAAUUCUCAAUCUGGUAUUUAAGCAUCCAAUAACACAAACUUAUUUGAUCUCCCCUUUUAUAUAUAUUUUCAUUAAUUUUGUAAGAUCUAAUAUAUAUACCAUCCGUCACGCCCUGUGCAUACAAAAGAUAUCUUUAAGUUGAUUAGAUGCUUCUUGUAAUGUCACUAUACCUAAAUAUUGCACUAUCGCAAACAAGAAACAAUUUAUACCAGUUACUUUUAAGUUAAGUAGAUCUUUUAAGAUACAGUUAAAUUCUAUGUACACACAAAAUCUGUUUAAGUUAAUUUAACUGUUUCAGACUAAAUAUACUACAUAACAAUAUAUAUAUCUUUGCUAAAAAUCUGAUCCUUCUGACCAGUGAGACGUGCUGGGAUUUGAGCUACUACUAAUACUCGACAUUUAAAGUGUUCCUCUCUUUUCGAACACUAUUAAUGCUUUUGAUAAUGCCUAUACUUAGAGAUUUUACACAAUAUCACAAUUAAUCGCACCGCCUUCCUUCAAAGAUCAAUUCUUGAGCUGCGUCGAUCUUCUAAAACACUGCUUAGUAUUAGAUAUUUUCGGAGGCAAAUGAGUUAGAUCAUCAAAUUCAAAAAUGUUAUAGCACUGAUCAACUGAUCCAUGGAAAAUUCAACUUAUUAACUGAAUAUCGAAUGACAUUUGGUAGUAGCAGAAUUAGUAUUCUUCUCGGAAUGGAGACAAAUUCGACUCGACGCUGAUAAAUCCAGUAGACCUGGGAGUCAAGUCAGUCAAAAGGCAGGGCAUCCUUCAGCAUGUACGCCACGAGCAGUCGGGCACGUAGCAAGGGGACAAUGGUCGGACACAUCCAAGCCCCACCAAUCAAUCCCGCUGACGUUGUGAAUUUGGAGGGUCACAGUUACUAAAAAUGCCAUCAAAGAGACUCCUGUAUCAAUUGCAACUGAUAGCAGAUAGCUGUACUUAGCCCACCAUCUUUUGUACUUUCUAUACACCACGAACUUCAAGAAGAAAGCAACGGCGAACCAUGACAGGUAGUUCACGGCACUAACGGGGGGCAUGGAUGCGCCGGCAAUUAAGAUGGUCGAUACAUUGAUGAGCCUGAUCCAUUUUUUCUCAGGAAGAGUGCGAGCAAGAAACCAGACGGGGAUUGGAAGGAGGGCGCCCAAGAGAAAGAAGAUGAAAAGAUUGGAAUAUACACCAUUAGGGUAGAAAACGCGUUUCGGACCCACAGCACCCCAAGUCAUCAUGUUGUUAUAGAUCACUUGGUCAUAAGGGCAUGUCCAUUGACUUCCCCUAGGCAGCAACUCUGGCCGGCAUAUAUUUUCGACUGAAGAGAAGAGCAACCACACUGUAGCAAAUUCACAAGCAGAUGCGAUGAAGGAGCCAAUGACCUAUCAUGUGAAAAUGAAACACGAUAGUAAACUUGUUUAUGCCAAAAAAAAAAAAAGAAAAAAAAAAGAAAAGGCAAGGUUAAUGUGGGAAUGUAUUUUUGUAGUCAAUAAAAUUUCACAACAAAAGAGAAUUAACGAUAAUUUCACAGCUAAAAAAGAAUGUGGGGUGAACUUCAAUUUGCUCCCCUUUGGCAUAGUGCAUUUUUACGUUGCCACCGGCCUUGUGACUUAAACAGUUGCACUUACCUACUAUGCGGUUUUUUUUUUUUCAUUUCACAAAAACAACUUGCUAUCAAAAAGGAUAUCAAAAUGAAAAAAAAUUUUGAAAAAACCACAAGAAGCAUUUGUUUAAUAAUAGGUUUCUAUAUUAAAAUAAAAAUAAAAUCACUGUACCUUUUUGAACCGGAAGGUGGCAAAGUAAGAAAAUGCACUAAAAUAUAGGAUAAUUCAGCACAACUUUUUGAACCACGUAGUGACGAAGCAAAAAUAUGCUAAAACAUAGGGGGGCAAAUUGAAGUUUACCCAAAUAUUUGUAUAGCAUGGAAGUAAUAUUUUGCCGUGUAGUUUGCCAUAUUUCUUCUUUCACUUCAGUUGGAUCACUUUCAAGUCUCCAAGUGCAACAAUAUAUCCAUCCAACCACUAAGUUUUUCUUUUUCUUUCACCUUAGACUCCGACCACAGAGUUGGAUAACAUAAUUAUGCAAUAACUAAGCAAGAGCUUCCGCCCAACUAAUGGUCGGCAUGACUCAUGAGAAAGUUAGUUUUGGAAGUAUAAGCAAGCUAAUUAUUUUGUUUGCAACCAACAUGAUGCUUGUGAGUUACGCGUAUCGUCAAUUCUUAAUUACUAGCGUUUGGUUCAAGGAUGGGGGGGGUAUAAGAGUUAUCCCCUCCCCCCCUUUAUACCCAAAGGCAAAAUGCUAUGGGUGGGAUCAACGGGUUAUCCUAGGAUAACCCGUCCCACCCCUAUUUUUUAAAAAAAUUUAAAUUUAAAAUUUAUAAUUUUUAAAAUUUAUAAUUUGUAAUUUAAAAAUUAAAGUUUAUAAUUUAAAAUUAUAUUUUAUAAUUUUCAAAUUUAAAACUAUAUUUUAUAUUUUUAAAAUUUAAAAUUUUAUAUUUUUUAAAAUUUAAAUUUGAUCUUAAAUUUAAAAUUUUAAUUUUGAAUUUUGAAAUUUAAAAGUUAAAAUUUUAAAUUUAAAAAUUUAAAUUCAAAUAUAAUGAGAGGGGUAAUAUCAUUAUUUUUCUAUUUAUAACUACCUACUAUACUAUUCUUCUUAUUUCAUUUUAUCUAUCCAAACGCUAUUUUUUUAUUCCCAGGAACAACUCAAUUUUGAUCCAAAUGCAAAAUUGGUCUAGUUCUUGAUUAUACCUGAACUUAUACCUAUUCCUGAAAUAAGCAGUUCUUAUUUAUACCCGAACUAAACGAAGUCUUUAGAGCCCAACUAAUGGAGUCGAAAAAUGUCAUAGGCAUUCUUACAACCUUGCUCUGAUAUAAACUAUUCAAUGAUAUUUAUUGAAUAUAAUCAAACACUCCAUACAAAUGAUGGAAAGACAUACCUUUGAAACAAACAAAAAUAUGUGUUCAAAGCAUUGUACGACCACAAAAUGAACAGUCAAACAUUGAACAAUCGCUUGAAGAUAGAGAACUGGAUUAUUUCAUUUAACAUCUGGAUUGUGGAACUUGCCUCGGAAGUGACUAGAACUUUCGAUUAAAAAUCCCUAUUUGCGUUGUAUUGCAACAUCACUAAAUGAGAAAAUAUUCAUACGAUAUUUGCCAUAAAAAAUUGUCACUUUCAAGACCUUUCGAUUGUAAGGUCGUGGAGAUAAAAGUAUAUGAAAUUUAGUUUUCCUAAUACUUCAAAUACCUUAUCGAGUUGAACAGUAUGAAACGUAGAUUUGGAAGCCCUAUCAUUGCAAAAAUUUUAUGCUCCUUUUAGAAUGGAAGCUUUUUAGCAGAAUAUCGAAUACUUUUAGAUCACGCAAAAACCUUAAAAGACUCCAAAAAAUUAGUAAUAUCUACAAGAUCAUGCAUAGCUUGUAUUUCUCUUACCUGUGAAAGGAACAUUGCCUUUGGAGGAAUCUUCAUGUAGAGCCCAAGCUUGAAACUAGAAAUGGCAGUAAGACCACAAUCAACACACAUCAUAGCAUAGGCUUCAAAAGUAGCAUUAGCCAACGGCUUCCCAGGAUACACAUACCCCAUAAUCAUUUGCGUAAAGGCACCCAUAGGCGGUUGCUGCGACAAAUGAAGCACCAAAUACAAUUAAACAAGGUGGGGAAUAAGGUAAUCACAUUAAAGGUGGCGGUGCCAUAAAAAAAAUGUAGAAAAUGAAAAAGUCGAUUAUGUAAAUCCGAUAAAAUUCUAAGUCAAAUAAUUGACUUUAGCAGUGAAAAAUGAGUUGAUAAAGAUAUAAGGGACUUCAAUAUUGAUUGCACAAAAUAGUAACAAUGUAUACAUGCCCAUGCAUAGACAAUAUUUCAUUUUUCUUGAAAUUAAACAUAGAGAGACAAUCAGGAAGAGCCUUAUUCCACCACUGUCAUCAAAUCCCAAUUAAUAUCAGGGACUUUUUUGUGGAUAAAAACUAAUAUGUGAAAUAUAAUAAAUUAAUUAGCAAGGCAUUAUUCUUUAUCAAUGUUCUAAAAUGUGAUAUGUGGUAUCCGGGCAGUCGAACCACCGCAUAGUACGUAUGCAGCAUGUAAAUGCAUAUUUGGAUGUAUAUGUGGUACAUCUACUAAAAUUAAAAAUAUAAAUAUAAAUAUAAAUGUAAAAAAGAACUAAAAAGUUUUUUAAAAUAGGAACAAUCAGCUGUGAAAUAAAUGAGCUAAAUAUUUAUACAGAAUAAUAAUGUUUUUUAAGUAAAAUGUCAUUCGUGAUCACUUGUAGUCAUCUAAUAAACAUGCCAACACUUAAAAAUAUCUAGCAUAAUAUUAUCUAACAACUACAAAAACAUUCAUCAAUGUUUAGAAACAUGGUUAUCAGAUAUAUUAGGAAUAAUAGCAAUUAAAAUAAGAAAAAUAGUUAUAUUAUAUUUGCAUAAAAAUAAUUACAUUUAUAUACAUGAUUACUAACUAAAGUUAUGUUAAAAUAGUCAUAUAUAUAUAUAUAUAUAUAUAUAUAUAUAUAUAUAUAUAUAUAUAUAUAGAGUUUGACUGGGCUACUAUCGUAGUAAACUGCUCGGUUUACUACCGAUUUGUUUUUGAUGAUAGAGCUUCCAAAUCGACGAUCGGCACCGUUGAACAUGAUCUAGACCAUUUUAAACUAUCUAGAAAUCAAAUUUCAUGAUUUUUUGGCAUCACUAACUGAACGAUCAAAGGGUCACAAAAUCUUAAUUUUAAUGACUGAUAUGGUGUGUUGCUCGUUUAACAAUAUAGAAGAGUUCAAAUCAAUAAAUUUUUUGUUAAAAAAUUCUUAAACUAUUUAAAAUAAGAUCUAGACUCUAAAUCUCAAAUAUAAAAAUUGUAUCAUCACUUUUUGAAGGAUAUUCAUUUCCAGCCAUUCAUUUUUCUGUUCACUUGAUGGACAAGAGAACAUAUAUCGAAAAUGGUGUGAAAUUUGAUUUCCAGAUAGUUUAAAUAGUUUAAAUUUGUUUAACGGUGCCGAUCAUCAAUUUGGAAGCUCUAUCAUCGAAAACAAAUCGUAGUAAAAACGAGCCGAUAUAACCGGAAGUAUUUUAACAAAACUCAAUAUAUAUAUAUAUAUAUAUAUAUAUAGAGAGAGAGAGAGAGAGAGAGAGAGAAUUAAGCUCCUAUGCUUUUAAAAGUACUAAGUUAUUGGUGCUUGUAGAUUUUUAGCCAUUGGAUUAAGAGAUAUGCGGUUAGGAUGAUGUGGGCCCCCUAGGGUUGAGUGGGUGGUCGGUUGAAUAGUAUAAUUUAAUGGUUGAAAAUGAUCCGAGGAGUAGAUCUAACGGUAAAAAACUUACAAGCACCAAGUGCUUAGUGCUUUUACAAGCACCAUAGCUGGACUAUAUAUAUAUAUAUAUAUAUAUAUAUAUAGUAGGGCUACUCUGCUAUCGGAAACAUAGAGGAUCUGGUGCUUCCUACUUUUUGGCCCUUAGAUCAACCUCUUUGAUCAUUUGUAAUCAUUGAAUUAAUACUAUUACCCUGUGGGGACCACUCAACCCUAGGUGUACUACUAAACACUGGGGGAAUCGCAAUCAUCCCAACCGUACAAUUCUUGAUCCAAGGGUCAAAAAGUCAGAAACAUCAAAUCCUCUAUGCUUCCAAUAGAAUAGUAGCUCUACACUAUAUAUAUAUAUAUAUAUAGAGAGAGAGAGAGAGAGAGAGAGAGAGAGAGAGAGAGAGCUUGACUGAGCUACUAUCAAUAGUAAACGGCUCGGUUUACUAUUGAUUUGUUUUUGAUGAUAGAGCUUCCAAAUCGACGAUCGGCACCGUUGAGCAUGAUCUAGACCAUUUAAAUUAUCUAGAAAUCAAAUUUCAUAAUUUUUUGACAUCACAAACUGAACGAUCAAAGGGUCACAAAAUCUGUAAUUUUAAUAGCCGAUAUGGUGCGUUUGCUCGAGAGUUCAAAUCAACUAAAUUUUUGUUAGAAAAUUCUUUAAACUAUUUAAAAUAAGAUCUAGACUCUAAAUUUUAAAUACAAAAAUUGUAUUAUCACUUUUUGAAGGAUAUUUAUUUUCAGCCAUUCAUUUUUCUGUUCACUUGAUGGACAAGAAAACAAUAUCGGAAAUGUGUGAAAUUUGAUUUCUAGAUAGUUUAAAUAGUUUAGAUCAUGUUUAACAGUGGCGAUCAUCAAUUUGGAAGGUUUAUAAUCGAAAACAAAUCGGUAGUAAAUUGAGCCAUUUACUAUCGAUAGUAUUCUAGCAAAACUCUAUAUACAUAUAUAUAUAUAUAUAUAUAUAUAUAUAUAUGUAUAUAGAGUUUUGCUAGAAUACUAUCGAUAGUAAAUGGCUCAAUUUACUACCGAUUUGUUUUCGAUUAUAAACCUUCCAAAUUGAUGAUCGCCACUGUUAAACAUGAUCUAAACUAUUUAAACUAUCUAGAAAUCAAAUUUCACACAUUUCCGAUAUUGUUUUCUUGUCCAUCAAGUGAACAGAAAAAUGAAUGGCUGAAAAUAAAUAUCCUUCAAAAAGUGNCAUAUAUAUAUAUAUAUAUAUAUAUAAUUCGGCUACUAUACUCUGAUAAGUACAAUACCUUUAUACUCAUAAGUUAUUUUCGAUGAUAGAACUUCUGAAUUAACAAUCCAUAUCGUUAAACAUGAUUUAGAGCAUAUGAAAGUUCUAGAGUCUGGCUAUGAUUCUUUUAAAAGCUUCAAACAUUUGGUGCUUGUAAAUUUUCCGCCGUUAGAUCUACUCCUUUGACCAUUUCCACACCUUAGGUUAUACUGUUUGACCAACCACCACUCAACCCUAGAGGAGCACUAUCAUCCUAACUGCAUAUCCCUUAAUCUAAGAGCCGAAACCUACAAGCACUAAUGCCUUGGUACUUUUAAAAGCAUAGGAGUAUAGAGUUCAGCUACUAUACUCUUAUAAGUACGAUCGCUUUCAUACUCAUAAGUUGUUUUUAAUGAUAGAACUUCUGAACCAACGAUCCAUACCGUUAAACAUGAUUUAGAGCAUUUGAAACUUCUAAAAGCCAAGUUUCAUAAUUUCUCGACAUAAUUUGCCUUACAAUCAAAAAUCUCAAAAUUGAUAACUUCUGAUUGCCGGUGUGGGAUACUUGCUAUCUUAGCAAUGUAAAAAUAAUCGAAAUGGGUUGAACUAUUGACAGAAAAUUCUAUUCACUAUAUAGAUAAAGAUCAAUAACUCUGAUCCUAAAUUGAAGGAUCCAUUAGAACUUUUUUGUCAAAAUAACCUUAUAAAAAUUCAUAUUUGAAUAAAUAACUCUGGAAAAAAAAAUUCGCAUAAUAACCCUCCGUUUGCCAACUAGGCCCCACAGUAGAAUUUUUUUCUUAAAGGCGGUGAAUGAUUUACCGCCGGUGAAUGAUUCACCGCCUUUAAGAAGACGGUAACUAACUCACUGUCACGCUCCGGAUUACCACGUUCCACGGGCUCGCUAAUAGACCCGCCGUAUACAUAGGGAUUUUCCGUGUAUACGAAGCAAUAGCUGUACCUGUAAACAGAUAAUAGCUACAACUGGAAGUACCGAGCUGCUAAAACAAAAACAUAUAUACAUAAAAGGCCCACUGUACAUACAAGUUCCAAAAGUACAACCACAUCUCAGAGUACAACUAAACACAACUGUAUAUACAUGGCAAUAUCCAAAACUAUCUCUGAUAGGGUACUUCGCUAGUAAAGUGACCGGGGAAGAUAGGGAUCUAGCUCGCGACUCCCUUACCUCGAUCAGAAGAAGUAGCAGCAACAGAAGGCUCUGCAAGAAAAAGUAGCAACAACGGGUGUGAGAACUACUGCAAAACAAAGUAGUCCUCAGUCGGUACCGUCGCCGACCCCAACAGCCUACCCACUAAGUCUACAGUACGAGAAGUAAACAGAUAGGUAAAAGGAAUAGUAAAAUAAGCUGGAAAAAACUCUACAGCUAAAUGCCACUAUACUAUCGCUAUCCAAACCAUGCUUUCUGUAGACAUAUAAAUGCAUCUCUAACUACAAAUCAGCCACAACUGAUCGAAUCUCAAGGGACCGCCAACUGGCCAAUCUAGCCUGCGCUCAAACUACACUGCACACCACCUACGGGCGUGGUGGCCGGUCCAAGAAAACUAUCCAAACGGGACUACUGUGACGUCAACGCAAGAAAAGCCUCACUCCGGAGCGGCAUUCGAGAGUGCGACCCAACUGAAUAUGCAAGCGUGUCUCUGUUGAGCUCAAUCAGGCUCACACAGACUACAGUCAAUACAAAUGGGUCAAACUGGUCUAACAACCAAGACUCAUGUGCCCUCGGCACAAUCUAGUACAAGAUGUAAGAAUCUGAAUCCAUCGUCCACCCCGACGGCACUCAACAGUACAAAACAGCCUAUCUCUGCUGUAAAUAUGAGCUCGGCCCCUCAGCACGAGCGUAAUCUCAACCUACACUAAUCUAAGUAUCCACGACGCACUAACAGCGAUGAUACACAGGUAGAAUCAGCUCCUAAAAUUAAAUCUGAUAACUUUUUCGAAAAGUAAAGUGCAUAGGUUUAUACAAGUUUUCUCCUAAGUCAAGUCCCAGUACGGCAUGUAAAAUUCAUCUAAAAUUAUAAGUUAAGCUCCAAAUUCAGAUGUCAUAUGAAAGCAUGCAAAUCUAUAAAUUCGAGCUAUUAAACAUGAUGAUCAAUACAAGAUGAUACAUGCUGAAAUUUCUACGACUUAGGAGGAAUUCCGAAAAUUUCGGUAAACAUUAACCCACCUAGUAUGCAAAUCCGACCACAGAUUAAAGCGAAACUCAGCAGUCACAUGCCUUCAAUCCCAAAUCACCAACAAGUAUAAGAAAAUCCAACAAAUCCCUAUUGGAUCGAGCUGAAUUAAAAAUCGAAUCACAAAUCCAUCAAAUGUCUAUUCGGUUCGGAAAAGUUGAAAUUCAGCAUUACUCACCUCAAACCAAUAGUUGCAACUUGAUUUGCAGGUUUCUCUCUACCUCAGGAACACCCUAGAAGCAUCCGAAUUGCAGCAAAAAAACUAAUUUCCAACAAUAGUUGCUGCUGUCCCUGCUCCAAGGUUGCUGCAGUUAUCUCCAAGCUGCUGCUGGCUUCUAAGCUGCCAGCACUGAGUUGCACUUCAUUCUUGCUCCAACAACCAACCAACAGCAAAAUUGGGAAUUGGGACUUGUUCACAAGUGAUCUUAGGCCUUUUCACUACAAGAAAAACCUAUAUUUCCCCAAGAAAUUUCAUUACAAUUGAAAGAUAAAGGUCAACAUUUCAGCUUCGACGAAAAACAGUUUUUUAGUCUUCGACCUCAACAAAAAAAUGAAUUUCUCAUUCAUUUUACCUCCGAAUUGAUCGAAACAAGAUUCUACACAGUGGAGGACGAAAUCAAGAUCACUUCCAACUUCUUCAAAGCUCAGCUCCUAUAGAAAAUUUGAACGAACUUUAACGAAUUCCAACAGUGGACGAAAUCUGCCUGAAAUUUCAGCAUUGAACCAAUCUUGAUCAACUUUAAAAUUAAAGCCACUAACCUUCAAUUCCAGCUCAAGUACCAAAACAUUCCUAGCCUCCCUCCACACAACUCCAAGUGUUCAAUUUUGAAUUUGGAGCAUCAAAAGACAAUAAAUUGAUCCCUAUUCCAUCAUUGAUCCUUCUGCGAGCCUGCAUCAGAGGCUGCUGGCAGCCUCGUUCUAUUUGAGAGUAUAGCUUAGUUGCAAACUUCUCCCCUUGAUACAGCAAAAGGAAUCAAAAGAGAGGGGGAAAGGAACCAGGGAAGAAGAAAAAGAAAUAACUUAUCUUCCUCAAUUGUUGCUAUAGCAGCGAAGAUCUCCUUCAAGAUGCUGCUGUAGCUGAAGCUCCAAGGCUGCUAGCAGCACCUUGGUGCCUACGCAGGGAAGUUCACAGCAGGUGAAAAAGAAGGAAAAGAAGGGAGGGAGAAGGGAGAGGAAGAGGAAACUUAAGAGGGCUUCUCUCAGCCAACAACAAGUGUCCAAACUCCCCAAUUUGGGGUAGUUGGGGCUCAAUCUAGUGUGCCUUAGGCACACUAUAGUAAAACAACACUAGCUAAGAUUCAUUGGCAUUUGGAUUAAAAUUUGGUAUCAAUUUCGCAUCCAAUACCAAUCCGACUCGCCCCAACACUUCCAAUGUGUCGAUUAAAUAACGGAUCGUAAUCAUUCCGAAAAAUUAUAAGUUAAUAUUUUUUUCCGAAACAUUACACUCACUGCCUUCUAAAUUUCCACAAAGGCGGUGAAUCAUUCACCAUCUUUUUGUUCAUAUACGUACUUUCCUCUUUUUUUCCAUAUAUAUCCUAACAACCACAUAAAAAUUUCAACAAAUUAAUUCAAUCUUAACAACCUAAUAAGUUUUAAUAGUCUAUCCAUAUAAUUCUAACAACCAAAUAAAAACUUUAAUAAUUCACAUACAACCCUAACAGCCAUAUAAAAAUUUUAAUUUUUCUAUUUCCCAUAUAUAAUCCUAACAACCAUAUAAAAUUUUCAACAAAUCACAUUUUUUUUAUUUUUCAUAUAUGAUCCUAACAAUCAUAUAAAAAUUUCAACAAAUUACAUAUAAUUUUAACAGCCUAAAAAAAAAAAUCUAAGAAGCAAUCCUUAAGAAGUUCAAGUUCAGUGCCUUAGUAGAGUAUCAUGAAAGCGGUAAAUCAUUCACCGUCUUCUUAAAGACGGUGAACGGUUCACCGCUUUUAAAAUAAAAGUUCCUUUCAUGCUGACUUGGCAAAAUGAGGGUUAUUUUACCAAAUAUAUUUUUAUAGGGUUAUUUUGCUCAUUAAAAUAUUUUAAAGGGUUAUUUAGGAAAAAAGUCCGAUCCGAUCAUCCAUUUUUAGAAUUUCAUCCAAUUUUGACCAUUUAUUUUAUGCCCUCUUAAUGGAUUUUAUUAUAAUUUCAAAAAAUUAUGAAAUUUAGUUUCUCGAAGUUCUAAAUGCUUUAGAUCAUAUUUAACGAUAUGGAUCAUAGAUUCGGAAGCUCCAUCAUUAAAAACUACUUAUGAGUACGAUGCAGCUUCCAAAUUGACGGCCCAUACAGUUAAAUAUGUGAUUUCUUAAAGUUUCAAAUUCUCUAAAUCAUAUUUAACACUAUGAAUCAUCAAUUUGGAAGCCCUAUCAUCGAAAAUGACUUAUGAGUACGAAAGCAAUCGUAGUUAUAAGAGUAUAGUUGCCGGACUCUAUACAUAUGGUCCAACUAUGCUGCUUUCGGAAGCACCACUCAUGUUAUUCUUCCAAUUCUUUAACCUUUGGAUCAAACCCUGUGAUCAUUUCAAGCCUUUAGAUUGAUACUAUUAUCCUAGGAGGACCAAUACACUCUAGGGGGACCACUAUUAUCCCAAUCAUAUAAUUCUUGAUUCAAUGGCCAAAAAGUCGAAAGCACCUUCAAAAGCAUAGUAGCUCUACACUAUAUAUAUAUAUAUAUAUAUAUAUAUAUAUAUAUAUAUAUAUAUAUAUAUAUAUAUAGAGAGAGANUAUAGAUUUGAGCUCUUAUACUUUUAAAAGUAUGGUGCCCGUAGGUUUUCAGCCAUUGGAUUAAGAAAUGUGCAGUUAGGAUGAUAAUGGUCCCCUAGAGUUGAGCGGCCGGUUGGUUGAAUAGUAUGAUCUAACAACUGAAAAUAAUCAAAGGGGUAGAUCUAACGGCGGAAAAGUUGCAAGCACCAAGUGCUUGGUGCUUUUACAAGCACCAUAGCUGGACUCAUGUAUAUAUCAGAGAGAUCCUCUCUUGGGCCGCGCCCACCACCGGCGCUGUCGGCGUCGCUACCGCCGCCUUAACCCCAUGGCGCUUCCACCCGCCGGUGCAAACCCCAGGCCGCUCGACCCCCUUGGACCCCCUGCUAAACCUAUCUUCACCUUUUACUGGCAGCAGCCACUAUGCCUCGGGCCUCUCCUUUUUUAUCAACCUUCCCUAACUACUAGACCAGCCAGCAACCUUUCACGCAAGGUUUAAAAUGCCGCCCCGUGCCGUAUGGCACAGAGCGGCACGUACUGUGCCACCAAGAAGGUGGCAUAGUACAGAGGGGGUCUCGGACCCCCCUCCAUGCCGCGGCACAGACCUGCAUAUCGCGCGAGACAUAACGAUAAGCAGGUCCGUGCCACGACAUACUUUUUUUGCUUUGUUCUUUGCUUUUUGCUUUUUUUUUUUCUUUUUGUUUUGUUCUUUAGGAUACCAUGAAGCAUCCCACACCCCCCAAGAAUAUUGCAAAUCGAAUAUCUACUUGUUAGGUAAGUCAAAACAAUUAUAAUUUUUUUUUUUUGUUUAUCAAUAUAUGGGCAAAUUUUUUAUUUACAUAUCUAAUCCAUACCACAGGGGGCGAAGCCCCCUACACCCCCCUUAUCGUCAUGAGCCCUCCGCUUCCACCAUAGACAUUCAUUUUUUUUAUAAAUUAUUUUAUCAAAAUUUGUCGCACCGCGAAAUUCUUGGCGAAUUAAGGGAACAAAAUCGAACUCAAUAAACAAAUUUUGAGGCACAUCAAACAUAAAAAUUUAUUUUUGCGUUAGAAGAUUAAAAAUACUGAUAAAAUUAAAAGCUAAAUUAAAUAAAUUGACACUUAAAUUUAUUUAAUUUAUUUGUCAUAUAAUUUAUUACUUAAUUUUUUUGAUAGAUCUAAUAAUUUUUUGAAAAAAAUAAUUAAAAAAUAUUUUUUUCAAAAUACUUUUUAAAAUAAUUUUUAACAUAAUUUUUAAAAUUAUUUUAAAAAUUAACUUUUGUAUUUAAUAAAAGAAAAACUAUAAUAUGGUCAAAAGAAAGAAAGAAAGAUGUCUUUACAUUUUUAAAAUUCCAAUUUGCAAAAAUUUUUAUUCUGCAUCAAGUGUAAUUAUACUUUACAUACAAAAAAGCUUACAAGUAUGUUAAUUGAUAAGUAUAAUAAAUUAUACAUAGUAAAUAUUCAUAAUUAUUUGAUUAAAUCUUUCAAAAUAACAUUAUAAGAGUUUAUUAGAACCAAAAAAACUAAAAUAAGUCUGUGCGAAAGCGUGUAAGUAGGAGGUCAUACGCAUCCAUCGGCACACAAGCGUACCAUAUGUCGACACGGAAGCGUGCCGGUGCGAUACCGUGCCAAGGCAGACAGCGGCAUGCCUCCGUAUCACGGCACUUUAAACCUUGCUUUCAUGGUUGCUGUUGAAGCUGCUAAUGCCCCUCAAUGCUUCACCCCCCAACUUAAUGUACACCUCACUUAGACAGAGUUAGCGACUUUCGGUACAGGCUGUUGUGUCCCUUCGAGUACUUGAUUUUCGUUUGUGACCUAGUGAGCAAGCUUAGACUAGGUCUUGAUGAGAAAUCAUGGUGAUUGGGUAUUCUUAGAAUCUAUAUGUCCAGUUAAUGCAUAAUAUCUCAAUUUGAGUUGUGCAUGGCAUUCUGGUAAGUGUUUGGUUUACAGUAACGGCAUCCUUCAUUGAGAGACUUGCUAUUUCGUUAUGUAUCAUCAUGCUACUAUAGUUGAUGAUCCUAUUGAGUUGUACAUGGCUUUCGUUUACAGUAGCGGUAUUCAUUAGUUUGUUAUUCAUGACAGUUGCUUAUCAUCUUACUAUUGUAGUUGGGUUCAGUCAUCUAUUUAGUAUCUUGCUUUAUUUUUACAGUAGCGGCAAUGCUUUGUAUUCCACUUCAUGAUACUUAUCUGUUUAUGUUUAUACUACUGUGGUUGAUUAUUCCAUAUUGAUAGUUAAUCUCUUAACCUACUCUUUUGUUGACCAGUGAGUACGCUUUGCCCUCGUCAGCCGAUUGCCCUUACUGAAAAACAUAUUUAUAUAUCUCUCACCCCACUGUUUUUACAAGUGUUGUUGACAGUGCAGAUUAGGGCGCAAGUGAGAACGUAAUAGUUAACAUCUAGAUAACUCAUACUGUGGAUCUGUGUUGCUAGUUCUUGAUUUACCUCAUUUCAUUAUCAUGUGGAAUUUAUGUGAUUCAAUAUUGUGAUUUGAGUUUAGUUAUAUUAUUAGGUUUCCAUUUGUAGUGGUCUAGGGAUUUUGGAUUAUGAUUUUAGAUUUAUUAGUAGUCAUAUGGUGAUUCCUCCUUGCUCAGGUUGCUUGUGAUUGUGUUUCUAUAUUCCUACAUCGUGCAUAUACAUGGGAGAUUUUGUCCCCGUGAAUAGAGAAAACUCUAUGCAUAUUGCGGGUCUAAGCAUGUCUCUGGCAAGGUUUUUAAAAAAUAUAUAUAUACGUUUUUCAGCAAGACUAUUUUCAAAACGAAAGGGUUUUUCAAAUAUGCUUACCACAAAGGGCCCGAGGCCUGACAGGUUGAUUCAUAGUAAUUGCGCAUCAUUGGUGGAUAAAAUCUAAGGAGACCUCUAGCAUAUGUUGUAAAUUUGGUAUCUAAGAUAAAUAUAAGCUAAAACAAAAGAACAACUAAUUGAAUGUAGCGCAACAUAUGAGAAAAUCUACUAAACUCGAAUCAUCAAUAUAGGCGUGCAAUUGCAAUAUUAAUAUACUAUAUUCAAGAUUGCAAUAUAUUCUCAAGAAUGUGCACAUCUUAAUAGCUUAUUAAAUGAAAAAAAAAAAAAAACCAUACUACUUCAAAUAAUAAAAACGUGAUCGUAGUCAAUAAAUAUAUAGAACAAAUUUUGAUACGGAAACUAGAUCGAUAAAUGAUUUCCGGCCCGUAUCGACCACAUGCAAAAUCUAAAAUUAUUAGCUAUUUUUCCAUUCACCAAGCACAUAUCCAUCAACGGAACUACAGUUUUAAUUUUUCAAAUAAAGUAUGAGCAUUAUUAGUACAUAGAGAACACUUACACAAAUUUAUUUGUGUGCACAAAUUAAAAUUUGCUUGCUUUAAUAAUUAGCAAAUAGAUAGAAAAAGAAAACUUCUAGAAAAACAAAAUAUUGCUUAUUUAUUCAUACUUUUCCUAAUUAUAUGUAUACUUUUACUUGUUACAUCCUACUGUAUCUAAAUUCUUACGCAGAAAAAUGUGCCAGGUUGAAUAAAGUGUAAGUUAAAGGUCAAUUAUGUAUAUAAAUAUGCUACAGAACAAAGGUAAAACAAAAAAAAUAACUCAUUAUUAUCUUUAUCUGCCACAGUAAAAACUCCAAUAAAAGUUUACCUUAGAUACAGUCGCACGAAGGACACCGAAAGAAGGCAUAAGAAUGAGAACUAGAACACAUAGUAAUAAAACUCCCCAGUAGGGAAGUUGAAGUUGAUUACCAAACCCUUCACAAGUCCAAAUAGUCAGGCCCGUCAUUGAAAUCAGAAGAAUAAUAAACCACCACAAAGGAAUAGUAUCAUAUUUCUUCAUCAUCUUAACAUGAACAUCAACCCCAUUACCACUUUGGAAUGCCUUUGUUAGUUGGCCCCAAAUUAAGCUAUCAAAAUAAACAAAAAAUGAAGUCAUGAAAACUAAAUAAAAAAAGGUCAGUUUUCACAUGCCAUUGUUUCUGUUUACUGUGUAUUAUCUUUCCUCGAGUUUUGUUUUAAUUCACCAUGUUUUAUCAAAUUCUUUGAGGGACAGCAAGCAACUAUAUUAACCCAAACCUUUAAAGUCUGUGAUUGUUCUCACAUUAUAUUCACCAAAAUGCAAUGACAACACUAUCAACAAUAAAUUGCGAAAUAUAAAGAAAAUGAAUGAGGGUGACAAAAUGAAUUUACAUAAAUAAAUAGAUAAAUUAAUAAAUACUCCAUCAUGACCAAGAACAACAUCACAUUUAAGAACAAAAAUCAAUUAGAAUCACCAAAUAAAAUGCAACACUUAAGCGACUUAAAAGUUCCAAUGUUUAAUAUCUUCACUUUGCCAUAAUUUAGUGUUUUGUUGGAUGGUGUUUCUUUUUUCCUGCUUUUGAAGUUUAGAACCUUAAACAAUGUGCAGUUCCAAUUGAUUUGUUGAACACUUCUUUGUACAGCAUAAGAGUGGUAUGAGAAACUUAUUGAACUUUUCAACUAAAUUCAAAAGCUUGCGUUAAAAUAAACAAGUUCCAAUCAAAAGCAACUAAUUGCUUAAAAAUCUACAAUUUCAACAUAUCUCGCAAUUUCAAGUUUAUAUUUUAACUAUUCUAAAAGUUCGAAGGACUUACAAACAACAAUCGUAGAUACAGAGGAAAUUAAUAUGAUGAGAAUCCCACUCAUCGCCAUCUCAAUUUUUCAUGUUUCUUUUACUGGUCAUAUCUUAUAUUACAUAGCACACAGUAUCAUCCACAAUAUAUUUGUUGUAUUAUUCUAUGAUUACAAUAAUAACAACAUUUUAACUUUCUGUGAUGCACGUUGAACCUUACGACAUUCUUAACAACUUCGUAGUGAUUUCCUAAUUUUUUUUUCUUUACUUUAUGUACCUGUUUUCAACCUUAACCUCACCCUUUUACACAUAAUAAAAUUGUGAAAUCUUUAAAUUGGAAAUUCAUUAAUAACUAGGAUCAGUCACCUAGAGAAGGUAAUAAAAAUAAAUGGGGAAUUCAUAGAAAAAUGUUUUCAUAAUCAAGACUAACUAUUAUACGUUCUUCAAAACAAACUUGCCAUAUUAUACAUAUGAUAUUUAUUUCAUGAAUUCUUAUUUUCUUGAUAUUUUAUGUAUUUUUGAAGAUUCCUACUGUUAGAAGUCCGAAAAGCGUAGAACAACUCGACCAUCAAAUUGAAACUCUACUAGUUUGGAAGAAAAAAGAACUAGUAUGUUGGAUCUUACUUUUGAUUCCUUAGAAAAAAGAACUAGUAUUUUGGAUCUUACUUUUGAUUCCUUCUUAUCCAUAAACACAAGAUGUGGCCAGUAAAUAUAUGACAUAAUAGAUUUUGCCGAUAACAAUAUUGUCCUAACAUGCAAAUUAGAUAAUAAUAUUUCAAGUCUUUUUUUAAUAGCCAAAUCCACUAAUCAAUAUAUAUGCUUUGAACAAAAAAGAAAAAUAAAGAGUAAGAAUAAAUGGAAAGAUAAGGGAAUAAAUAAAUCAAAUCUUACCUCCCAUGGAAAAGUGCAAUUUCCGAAAAACAUGAUGCUAUGCUUGCAAAGGUAAAUCCGUAAGAGUACACGCUCAUGACACUAAGAUACAAUUCUGAAUAAUUGUCAUAUGCUACUUGAUCAAAUUUCAAGGUUUUUUCAUCCAAAAUUCUUGAGAUAUUGUAGAGAUUACCAUGUGCAUCAUAAACAUCAGUACUGACAAGUGGAAAGUUCUUUGCCUUGUACGAGUUGCACAAAUAAGCAAUUGGAAUAACAAUAUAUAGGAAUAUAACAAAUCCAACCAAAGCAUUGGCUACAGCAGAAAAUGGGAUUACGAAAGGACUGCCAGUGAAACCGACAACUGUAUUCCAAUCAAGAGUAAAGGAUCCAAAGCCAAAACCAUUAAGACCAGAACCAAGUUGUUGAGCUGUGACUGAGUGCUUCCGUAUCCAGCAAACAAAUGAAAGUGCUGAUAUUGAAGGAAAAAAGUAGCCAGGCACGACAUAAUAGGAGAAGCUCAGAACCGAAGCCAAGAAGAAAAAUUGAAGUCUUGUUAAGUUUCUGCCAGACUUAACUUCCUUCUCAUGUAAUGCUCUAGAUCAUCAAAACAAAUUAAGGUGGGUGAGAGAGAGAGAGAGAGAGAGAGAGAGAGAGGCUACUUAACAAUUUGGUGUUAUCAUGAAUAGACCUGAAAAAAGCUACUGAAGGUAGGACUUCCGGCCACCACAUAUGAGGAGAAUCCACGAGGAGCUUCAUGAAGAAGCCAACAAAUCCAAUCCCAAAAACCUGCAAUAUGCACCAUGUAGAAAACAAUAAGGAGUUUUAAAGGUAUAUUGAAUCACAAACAUAAAAGAACUGAAGCCCCCAUUUGUUGUACAUUCAAAUAAAUUAUUAAUCUAUUUUUUCUAGAAUAGAAGCAACAAUAAUUCGACAUUGUUCAUCAGUGAACCGACUUAAAAAGAAAUCAAAUAUACUAUUAUAACUUCAACCUUGUUCUAAAAUACUCCGCCAAAAUUAUUCAAACGGAUGGCAUUUUUCACUGAUAAUCAAGUCUAUUCAAAGAAUGGAAUUUAGUGGCUCAAAAUGUUUAUGCUGUAUUGUAUGUUGAAAUUUACAAAAAUGUGACGCCCCACUUACUAGGAGGGUCACCCAUCCUAGGACUACUCUAGCCCUAGCAUGCUCAACUCUCUUAACCUCUUAGAUCUAGCCACCGCCCAAAAUGCUAUAGCCGGUUAAGAGAUUUAAUCCUAUUAUAUCUUAUAUAUAAGACUAUUUCAAAUCCUAGGAUCUCAUAAAAAACGUAGCUUAAAUGGCAAAAAUAACAACAUCUGGUUGAGGCCCACACCCACUCUGGAGAUCACCAAUCCUAAGACUACUCUAACCCUAGCAUUCUUAGCUUUCUUAAGCUCUUAAGCCUAACUAUCGCCCAAAAUCACAGUCUGGUUAAGAAGGUUUAGUCCUAUCAUACCUUAUAUAUGGACUAUUCCAAAUCCGGGGUCUCAUAUUUUUCCUCCUUUUAAGACUUGACGUCUUCGCCAGGCUUAAGCACACUCUCAAGUUCCAGGCAAUAUGAGACUUAUUUCGCUAGCCUUAGCCGAUCUUGUGGGAGUCGCGCUCUACCCACAAUAAUCAUCAACCAGAGAGCCUUGCUCUACCCGCUAUAUAAUCUUGACUCAACCGAGACUCAUCUCACACUUACGAUAGUAAUUGAUUCUGAUACUAACUGUGAUGCCCCACUUCCCAGGGAAUCACCCAUCCUUAACUAAUCUAGCCCUAACAUGUUUAACUCGCUUAAGCUCUUGCGCAUAAUCACCGCCUAAAAUGCUAUAACCGGGUUAGGAGGUUCAGUCCUAUUAUACCUUAUAUAUAGGAUUUUUCCAAAUCCUCGGGUCUCACAAAAAAUGUAGCUUAAAUAGCUAGUUUUAAGCAUACAAAAAAAAAGAAAAAAAAAAAACAACAACAACAAAAACAACAAGUUGAUGCUUACAUUUGUAGUUAGGAUUAGCAAAAAGGAUGCCAACGGAUGAAUAGUUGUUUUAAAAAAGGCCUUGACCGUUGCCAUAAUGUCGAUUGCACUAGUCGAUCCUACCCCUGAACUAGCAAAUGUAGAGAUAACAACAUGCUCCUUAAUAUUAAAGGGGCCUGGAUUCAAUGAGAACUGCCAUUUUGUGCCCGGAAUUCUUAUAUUCUUGGCUGGAAGAAUAGUUUCCAUCAACUUGCCGGCAGGAAGAAUCAAAAGUUGGAUAGUGAGCAUGGGGAACAUGAUAGGAUUUUGUCGAAAUGAAGUGAAUGUACUUAUGGUAGUAAGAAUGAUGCAUGUUGCGACCCCUAAGAACCAUGUUCGGAAGGUAAGCACGGGCAGCGUCCAAUCAUCUGUGGUAGGGACGGUUAAUUUCACUUCUUCAAUAGGCGACUCAUUCACCUCAUCUAUAAAAAAAAUAAUAAUUCACAUAUAUUAUGUCUCAAAAAAAAAUCACUAUAUUAUUCAAAAAUGAAACAUCCAUUACAAUCGAGAAAAAUCGUUAAACAUGACAACAAUAUUAAGCUAUAUUUUGUACAAAGAGGCGAUCAAUAUAUAUAUAUAUAUAUAUAUAUAUAUAGAAUUAGGCUACUAUACUAUCUAUAGUACCGGAGCUCCGGUACUAUAGUAUUGUUUUCGAUCUUAGAGUGUUCAAAUUAACGAUCUACACUGUUAAAUAUGAUCUAGGGUAUAUGAAGUUCUUAGGAAUAAAAUUUUAGUUUUUUUCGAUAUCGUUUACUUAGUAAAUAAAUUAUGUCAAAAUAGACGGUAGAAAUUGAAUAAUCUUUAAAAUUUGAGCAUAGGACUUUUAAAUUCAAGAUCAAGAAUGUUAACCUUAAUCUAGAUAGUUUAAAGUAUUUUCUAUCAAAAUUUGAAGAAAUUUAGAUUCCUCUACACCGUUAAACUCCAAACUCGCCAUAGUAUCCAUUGAAAAUUAACAAUUUUGAAAUAGUUUGAUCAUAAAGUAAACUAUGUCGAAAAAAACUAAAAUUUUAUUUCUAAAAACUUUAAAUACCCUAAAUCAAUUUUAAUGAUGUGGAUCGUUGAUUUGAAUACCCUAAGAUCGAAAACGAGACUAUAGUACCGGAGCCCCAAUACUAUAGAUAGUAUAGGAGACUAGCGCUCUCUCUCUCUCUCUCUCUCUCUCUCUCUCUCUAUAUAUAUAUAUAUAUAUAUAUAGUUAUGAAACUUUUUUUUUCCCUUAAAGAUGAAGGUGCUAGAGAACUCAGGGCACUCACUAAUCUCUUUAUUCAUACAUUUAACAGCAAUUAACUUUCUUUUGUUCCUUUCUUGAGCGAGAAGGGUUUAAAGCUAAACAUCCAAAAGACACAGGAAAUAGCCGAAAGCACCUUCCUCAUUGAAUAAUGAAUAUGCAUUCAAACUAGAUGGAAAAAAAAAAAAAAAANGCCCUACCAAAACCAAAACAAACGGAAAACUAGAAUGUAUCACGCUACUACCACCUCUUGCUCUUCGUACCAUUAUAUAGAAAUUAGACUAACGUUUCUCCCAAAUAAUAACAAGAACCUAACCGAAUCAAAAAAAAAAAAAAAAAAAAAAAAAAAAAAAAAAAAAAAAUUGAUUAAUGUUAACUACUACUACUACUACUACUAAUAAUAAUAAUAAUAAUAAUUCUUAAUUAAAUCCUUACAAUACCUUUAAGAAAUUAAUAGAAAGAAAUUAAACAAAGUACAGCAAGGAAUUAAAGGAGGGAGAGAGAUUAGGCAAUUCACUUACCACUCCAAGAGAAAUUGGCUGUAAACUUUCCCUUUUUGGAACCAUUGCAACGAAAAAAAUUGCCCUUCGUUUACGUAAGAUGUUAACAAAUAUCAACAACAAAAAAACCCAAGAGGGAAACAUCAAGAUCAUGCCAAAAUUAUCUGCGGAUCUCCUAAAUUAAGCACAGUGAUUCUUGAACAGGUACAGUGAAUUUGGCCAUGGUCUAAAUUCAAUGUACCCCUCUUGAAUUGUUUGAAGAAUUUUACAUAAAAUAAAUUUUUAUUUCUAAUUAGUGGGGAGAGAAGAAACUUUUUUUUUUUUUCCCUCUCCUCUCUCCCUCUUCUCCCUUCAUCGUUGCUGGGCCCGACGGCUGGCGGAGAUACUCACCUCCUCCUCGCUCUCCUCCGCCGGCAACAGUGAGGAGGGGGAGAGGAGAAAAAGGAGGCGGCUGGCAGCUGCGAAGGCGGCGGCGGCGGUGGACGGCAGUGGCGAGGAGGGAGGGAGGAGAGGAGGAGGCAGUGUGUGGCGGCUACCUGCAAGGGCCGCGGCGGCGUGCGGUGGAGGGAAACGGCGAAGACGGCGCAGAGGGGGAGAAACCCCUCAUUAACAAUAAGAAAAUAUAAAUUGAGUUGAGCUGGAAUGCUACGUCAAACGGGGACAAAAAUUUUACCGGCAUAGUCCUCAAACUAAUUUAGUUUGGGAAUUAUGCAGAUCAAUGCAACGUGAUCGAUCCGGCGGUCAUGGAUGAGAAAACAAAAAAAAAUUCUGUAAUUUGAGAGAGAGAGAAAAAACAACUGAGAUUUGUGGCCAUCGGAUCAGCCACGUGGCGCCAAUUCACAUAGUCUCUAAAUUUGCCCAUAAAAUUUAUCCCGUCAAACAGACACUUGCCAUCAAUUUAAUUUUUAUGACGAGCCUUCAAAUCGAUCGACUAUUGAUAUCGUUGAAUAUGAUAUAUACCACUUGAAGCAUCUAAAUAUCAAAUUCUAUAUUUUUUUAAUAUUAUUCUCUUAUCCAUCAAAAUGACAUAAAAAUGGACGGUUGAAAAUGAAUAUUCUUUAAAAAGUGAUGAUAUAAACAUUAUAAUCAAGAUUAAGAGUAUAGAUCUUUUUCUGAAUAGUUUAAAGAAUUUUCUAACCAAAAUUUAAUUAAUUUGGAUAUGUUUAUGUCCUUAAACGAGAAAAUGUCACAUAUCGGUCAUUAAAAUAAAAAUUUUAAAACCCUUUGAUUAUUAAGACAAUAAUAUUGAAAAGAUUUGAAAUUUGAUUUCUAUGUACUUCAUGUGGUAUAAAUCAUGUUCAAUAAUGUCGAUCGUCGAUUUAGAGGCUUUAUCAUUGAAAAUAAAUGAGUAGCAACGGAGUCCGUUUGCUAUCGAUAGCAUUCUAGCCCAACUCUAUAUAUAUUUUAUAUUUUAUAUUACAGUCAAGUUACUAUACUAUCGGUAGCUCAAAAACUUUCGUACAACCAAGUUGUUUUUAAUAAGUGGCUUUCAAAUCAAUGAUCGAUUUUGUUAAAUUUGAUUUAUACUAUUGAAAGUAUUUGAAAACUAAAUUUCAUAAGUUUUCAACAUCAUUUACUUAUCAAACGAGUAAUCUAAAAAUGAAUAGUUGAAAAAAAAAAAAAUCUAGACCUCAAAUAAAAUAAGAGAUAUUGAUCUUACUCUAAAUACUAUAAAUAAAAUUCUAUAAAAAAUUAAUUGAUUUGAAUUAUUUUAGGCUAAAUUACAUAAAACCUUUUUGUCAAAAUCUGAUUUUUCACUUUUUUUCUCCUGUCAUUUGAAAACCUACACUUUUUCCCCUUAUAAAAUAAAAAAUAGUCACAAGGGGUACGGUGUAAACUGUGAUGGCAAAAUGACCAUUUUACCCCUCACCACUUUUGGCAAGAAGAGAGAAGGCUGAGGGCAUUUUUGGCAUAAAAAAUAUAUAAUAAUAUUUUAUAAACGGAACCCUAAUAUAUCACUAACGGCAAGGAAUGAAGUGAACAUUUUUCAUUUCACAAUAGGGCAAAGUAUAGGUUUUUAAAUGACAUGAGGGGAAAGUGAAAAUUUGAUUUUUGACAGGAGGGUUUUCUAUAAUUUAGCUAUUAUUUUAUAUCGUUAAAUUCACAAACGCAUCACAUCGACAUUAAAAUUAUCAAUUUUGAAACUUUUUAAUCACUAGUCAAAUAAUAUUGAAAAUUUUUGCAAUCAAGUGAAUCUUAAAAAAUUAAAAUAAAGUUUAAAAGCCAAAUUCAUAUUUAUAAUUUAAAUUUGUAGUUGGAAUAUGAAACCACACCUUGAAUAAGAAAUUUGAUUAAAAUGUAACUCUAAAUUUAAAUUAAACUUUAAAUUUAAGUCCAAAACUUGAAUUUAAAUUUUAAACUAAAACAUGAACUUAUAAUUCAAAACUAAAUUUUAAAUUUAAAUUUGAAUGUGCAAUCUAAAUUUAAAUGUCAGUGGCAAUAAUCAUGGAAGAACCUUUUCUUUUUUUAAACCAAGGUUGAUUCCAAUCUCUUUCAUGGAAAUCAUUUUAGGGAGAAAAGCAUUCAUUCGGUUUGAAUCCUAAACUUUAAUUCAGGUUUUUUUUUUUUUGCAUUUGGCCCCUCAAAAACAAAUCAUAAAUAGCCCUCUUAAAUUUAUAAUUAUAAUUUUAGUUCUAUCCUUGUCACCCAUGCAUCACAUCAGCGCCACGCAAGUAGGCUAGGACGUUAGUUGAACACGGUGAAUCAUAUUCAAACACGGUGACUGUUUCACUGUGUUCCAUAUUUACAUUUUCCUUUACUGUGUUUAGACACGAUGAAUGAAUUAUCGUGUUCAACUCAUUCCCUUACUAAUGUGGCGCUUACGUGGCACCUGUGUGGCGGGAUAGGGCUAAAAUUGUAAUUAUAAAUUUGGUAGGAUUAUUUGUGAAAAUAAUAUUUUUGAAGGGGGAAAAUGCAAAAAAGGUCUCGAUUCUAUUAAAUCAAACGGCCCUGAGGCAGAUUUUUAUUCUUUAUAACUAGAGAUUCAAGAAUUUUUUACAUAAGAUCAAUAGGUGGGUCUAAUUUUGGCAACCAGCUAUUCGAAUUGGCAAAAAAUCGAACGCACGUUUUCAAAACAAAAGUUCGGAAAAUAAACCAAAAUUUGACCGCUUACAAAUUUUAAUUUGAAGGAUUAAUAAUAUUAUGAGUAGGGGUGGAAACGAGCCGAGCUCGAGCGAGCUUAUGUCAUCUCAAAUUCGGCUUGAAAUUAAUUUCGAGCCUUAUCUAGGCUCAAGCUUCGCUUUGAAAUUAUUCGAGCGCAGCGUGAGACUAUUCGAGCUGAGCUCGAUGUUCGAGCUCACUGAGCUCGCUACAUUGAAUUCUCGCAUUAUAAAUCAAUAGUUAAUUUUUAUGAACUUUAUCUACAAUUUGAUGCAACAUGCCAAUAAUUCAAACAAUUACAAUAAUACUUUAAAAAUGUGAGGCUCGAGGUGACUUCCUGACUGAUGAGGGUCUUAAGAAGAGAGAGAGAGAAGAGAGAGAUGAGAGAGAGGAAAAAAGUAGGGAUUUGAAAAUUUGAAUGUUAUCAUGUUUUGGAGUUAUGUGACAACAGUUGAGAAAGUGUUAUGUAAACUUUAGAGUUGGGCUCAAUUGUACGUUGUACUUGUUGGCGUUUAUUUUAUGGGCCACAAUAAUGGACCCAAUUAAAUUUAAGGCUAUAUAUAUAAUUAAAUACAUUUAUUUAUAGAAAUUUAUAUAUAUUUAUUAUAGGUUCGAGCUACUAUACUUCUUAUGAAGUAUUGGUUUCUUAUACUCAUAAGUUUCACCUUAAAUUUAUUCCAUUAAUCAUUUAAUCGUUAGAUCAUACUAUUUACCACACUACCCACUAACCCUAUGGCGGACCACGUAUCUUCGUAAGUGGGGACACCAUCAUCCUAAAACAAUCCCAUCGAAUCACGUUUAAAAAAUUUAUGAGUUAAGGGGUCUAUUAUAUAGAUAUGUAGCCGGCCUAUAUAUUAGUAUAUGUAUAUGUAUAUGUAUGUAUAGUAUGUAUAUUAUAAUAUAUAUAUAUAUGUAUAUUGUAUAUGUAUAUUAUGUUAUGACUUAUAUAUGUAAUAUGUUUAUAUGUAUGUCUAUAUUAUAUGUUAGUAUAUUAUAUAUGUAUGUAUUAUAUAUAUGAUAGUAUGUAUAUAUAUAUGAUAUAUAUAUGUAUAUAUAUAUAUUAUAUAUGUAUAUAUAUAUAUAUAUAUAUAUGAUUUAUAUCUAUAUAUAUGUAUAAUUAUAUUAUAUAUAUGUAUUAUAAUAUAUAUAUAUAUGUAUAUAUAUUUAUAUAUAAUUCCGAGCUUUUCGAGCUUUUCGCAGCUAUUCGACGAGCCGAGAUAAUAGCGUCAGCUCGGCUUGAAAUGAAUUUCGAGCCUUUUAUUUUGUUCAAGCUCGGCUCAUUUAAUUUCGAGUCGAGCUCGAGCGAGCCGAAUAUCGAGCCGAACACGAGUCGAACGCGAGCCGGCUCGCUCAUUUGCCAGCCCUAAUUAUGAGGCGUAUGUACACUCCUGCAUGGAUGAAUUGCAACAUCUCUAAAAAAAUUUAAAAUUUGAGCGGUAAAUAUAAAAUUGUAAAAGUUUGGAUGGUGUGUAAAAAUUUUAAAACCUUAAGGGGUUAUCUGCAAAUUGCUUAAAAUUCACUUAAAACUUGAGUUAUCUUCGCAAACUAUUGUUAAAGAACUAAAGAACUAGGCCAAAUCUAGAAACUUAUUCAUUUUUAAACACAUUAGUCAUGUAGCACAGUUACAGUUCGGCAAUGUAGGAAUCGGGUGUAGCCGAAUACUACCUUCACCUACAGGGACAGUUUUUAUAAGAGCUCUUUUUCCAUUUGAUCCUCGAAAAAAAAAAAAAAAUUAAAAAUAGUCCUACGAAAUUUAUAAUUAUAAUUUUGGUCCUAUUCCUAUCACACAAGCGCCACGUCAGCUCCACGCGAGUGGGACUGGGAUCAAGGUGUUAAGUUGAACACGAUGAAUCAUUCACUAUGUUUGGACACGAUGAAUGGUUCACCGUAUUCAGUGACUUAUAUUACUCGGAAGAAUAAUAUAUUAAAUACAGUGAACUAUUCACUAUGUCCAAACACGGUCAAUCGUUCAACGUGUUUAGACACGAUGAAUAGUUCACCGUGUUUAAACACGGUGAACCAUUCACUAUAUUCAGUAGAACUCUACCCAGGUCAUUGCAGAUUUCAGCACAAUAACACAACAAAUCAUGAUACAUCGAUAACUUAACAAAUUCAACUUUAACAACACAACAACAAAUCCACCACAACAACACAAUAAUAAAUCCAACAGAAUAUCAAUAGAGCAUCAAUACCAUAUUAUCACAACAAAAUAUCAAAAAAUAGAGCAAGUUUAUCAAUAAUUUAAAAAGUUCUAUACAAUUUAAAAUUUACAAAAAUGUAAAGUCAUAUUCUCCUCCUAAUCUCUUGACCACAUCUACCUACACGUCCCCUACCACGACCGCGACCACGAUCAACACUAUACUUGUCGAAGAGCAAUGUGACUUCCAACUGGUCGAAAUGUUCGAUAGCAGCACCCUCCACAACUGGCUGAGUAUCCUGCGUCUCUAUCACCUGUUUCAUCUCGUGCUCAACCAUAGCAGGUGUCGGUAGUAUGUCUGGUCGUGGAGGAGCUGAAGAUGAGAGCUAAUUUGUGUGGAGAGACUGCAACUGUCAUUGGCGCCUAUGAUAAACAAUAUCAGCUAGUCGAGGUGGAUCCUCUUGUAUUGGAGAUCCUCUGGUGUUGGCAUUGUGUCUGGAUAAUAAAAUGACUCCUCUAUCGGUGAAGAUGGCCUCGGUGGACUAUACAGUGGGACAUGAACCAACGUCGAUAGUCCACCAUAUUUUGUUGGCCGUGGAGGUACAGUGUCUGGAAGCGUAGGUAGAGUCUCCAAAACCGCUUCCAUUUGAUCGGCACCUUGUGAUAAAGCUUCUAAUACUCCGCCAUAUGAAAUAUCUGACAGGACACGUGUCACGCCCCAAAUUACCAUGUUUCCCCGGGCACGCUAACAGACCCGCCGUAUACAUUAACAUUUUUCACGAAGUGAUAGCUAUACCUGUAAACAAGUUAUAACUAUAGCCAAGAGUAUAGAGCUGCUAGAACUGAAAUAUAUACAAAAUAUAAAUCAUCCACUGUACAUACAAAAACCAACAGCACAACCUCGCUCCAGCGAGUACAACUAACCAUAAUAGUAUGUACAAGGCAAAAUCUAUCUAACUCUGCAAGGGUACUUCUCUAGCAAUGUAAUACAUUGAACUUACGCAAAUUGCGAAGUUCGAGUGUGUGGAAGGAUAUUUGGAGCUAUCCUACAUCUUCUAAAGGGUUUAGAGAAGAUAUUGGACAAGUUUGAGAGUGAUUGGAAGGCCAGAAGCAUGAAAGUGCAUUGUUCUGGCGAAAUUCAGCAUUUUUUUGCAUUGUGUACCGGUACAGCCAUCAUUGUGUACCGGUACACAAUGACAGAUACGUGGCAGCAAGGCUAAUUUAGUAAUUUCACUUCUUUAACCCAUCCUUAUCUACCCAGCACGACCUCUGGAGCUCCUUAGAUGAUCCUAGAGCUCAGAGAAGUGUUCUUGCACCUCUCUCACUUUCUCUUUCUAGGGUUUCUCUCUCUUCGAGUAGAAGUCGCCGAUUCAAGCCGAUUCCGCGUUCCGCUCGAUGUUCGCUGGUUUGGAGACUCAAGGAAAGUCUUUGGCAUGUGGGGAGAAGGAUUCUUACUGAAUUUCUGAGGUCCUAUCACCAGGGGAAGCUAAGUUGCAGCUUUUGAUAAGUAUUUUGCUUAAGACUUCUCUAAUUUGAAGUUUAGUAUCGGAAUUUGAGUUGUUUUAGUUUCUUUGCUCCCAGCUGAAUUAGGAGUUUCCAGCAGCUAGAGAGGAGUUAGUUAGCUGUGAUUUAUCCACUUUAGACCAGGGAUAAGCUGCUUUGAAGCUUGAUAACGGUAAUUAGUUAUCUAUGACUCUAGUUCGGCUAUACGAGGUUUAAGCGAGUAAAUUGAUGCAGUUUGGAAUUGUUUCUUCGCAGCAGGUUUCCGAACCACCUUGAGCUAAAUUGGUGACCUUGGGGGACUGGUUUGAAAGGUGUUUCAACCAAGGGUAAGUAGAAAUUUCAAUUAGAAAACUGAUUACGUAAGAUUCCGACUAUAUUAACUAGUAUACAAGUGUUUUGAUGCCGUUUGGUGAUUACUCGCAGCAAGGUUGCAAUCGACCGUUGGAUUAUCUUUGACUAACUUGUGAGAGCUUUUGGAGGUUAAACUUGAGGUACUAAAGUGAACCAAAGUAGGGAUUUAAGUUACUACUAUGUACUAAGUGAGAAUUUUGCCGAUUUCGGACAUUUUGGCCAUCGCUUCAAUGCGAUUUUGAUACUCAGUUUUCAGCAGGUUUGAGACCUAGCGAGCUGAAUUUUGGGACUCAGUUGGGGCUGGAUCGAGCUUAGUGCUAGGUGGGUUUGACCUAACCAGAGCAAGUGAAGCUCCCCUAUGUUCUAUAUGUUACUAUAGAUUUGGUACAUAGGUGCAUUUUAUGAUUAUGUGAUUGAUAAGGAUUUGAAACAUCAUCGCCGCAUCGGUUGAGAUAUUGUAAUGAAACCUCUAUGAAGGAGAGAGAACUCAUGCAUAAAAGUAUUCAUGCAUAAAGUAUUCAUGCACUAAAGUAUUCUUGUUUAGUUCAAUUGAAUAACCAAGAGAUAAGUUUAUUAUGCUUCUAUAAAGUAGAGAACAAUUACAUUCUCUUGACCCUAUUGAUAGUAUAUGAAUAGUGAGAAGUUUCUAAUGCAAUAUGUAAAAUUGGCAUUACUUUUAUGUGUUACUAAUCUAGUGGAUACUAGCAAGUUUCAUUGUUUAUCAUAUUGAGAAUUCCGAUCAAUAGAUCGAGAGUGAGAACAGAGUGUACUAUGACAUGAUGGUUGAGACAUAUUGGGCUAUGGACUUUGCUUGCUUGCCAUCGUGCUCAUUCGCACACGCUUGUGAGGGUAGCUCCCUACAAGCCGGCACUCCGGAGUUGGCCUACGCGACAGUUGCUCGCCCGUGCGGGAUUGGGUGCCGAAGUGGAUUGCCGUGGGGAGUAUAUACUACCACGAGGCAAUCCACUUCGGCACCCAAUCCGUGGGGAGUAUAUACUACCACGAGGCAAUCCGUGGGGAGUAUAUCCAAUACUUUUAUUAUUCAGUCGAUUCAUUACUGCAGAAAGUAUGAUUACAUGUUGAUUAUAUGUUCAUUACCUAUUACCUGUUAACAGUAUAGAUAUAUCAUGCAAUUACUGCUUUUACUUUCAUUCAGUAUAUCAUGAGCCUAGUGGUGUAAUUCGCCGAGGCUGGCGGCUUACCCACUGGGAACUAUUGGAUAAUAGUUCUCACGCCCUUUUUAUUGUUGUUUUUACAGAGUCACCUACAGGAGAGGCUAGGGAUCGCGGCAAGGGAGUCGCGUCUAGCUAGACAUAGCUUGAUGUUUGCUAGUUGAUCACCUUCCUACUCGUGCCACGGCCGAGGGUGAUGUAUCCAUGUAUAGAGAGACUACCAUUGUACAUGUAUUUUUAGUAACCCUGUGAUGUAUAUGAGUAGUUUGAAUCGGGGAUUUUAGUUUUGAUUUUGCUCUUUGAUGUUGAGAUUUUUGGUUGUAUACUCCUUAUUCCUCUGAUGAUGGUAUUAUAGACUUAUACUUGCUCUGAUAUCAGGAUAGGAUACUUCUAUGUUUUCCUUCUAUCGACAUGUUUUCUUUGUAGACGCCUUAUAUACUGCAGGUGUAUGGCGGGUCUGUGCACAUGCCGGAUAUGCUUCCGCUGAUACCCGGGCGUGAUAAGCAAAAGACCCGGGAAGGGAAGACUCUAGCUCGCGACUCCCUUGCCUCUGUCAGAAUCCACAGUAGCAGCAGCAACGGACGGCUCUGCAAAAAGGUAACAACAAUGGGGUGUGAAAACUACUGCAAAACAGAGUAGUCCUCAGUGGGUACAGUCACCGACCUCAACGGCCCACCAACUAAGUUACAGUAAGGUAUGCAAAGGAUAGAAAAUCUGGAAGAAACUCUAUAGCUAUAUGCUACUAUAUUAUCGCUAUCCCAAACCAAGCUCACUGUAGAUAAAGGAAUGCAUCGCUAGCUACACACUGACCCAAUCUCAAGGGACUACCGAUUAGCUCGUCCAGCCUGUAUCCAAACUACACCGCACACCACCCACGGGAUGGCCGGUCCAAGAAACUGUUCAAACAGGAAUACUGCAACAUCAACGCAAGAAAAGCCUCACUCUAGAGCGGUACUCGUGGGCGCGACCCAAUCGAGUAUGCAAGCGUGUCUUUUCCGAGCUCAAUCAGGCUCACACAGGCUAUAGUCAAUGCAAAUGGGUUCAACUAGUCUAACAACCAAGAUUCACGUGCCCUCGGCACAAUCUAAUACAAGAUGGGAAAAUUUGGGUCCACCGUCAGUCUCGACGGCACCCAACAAUACAAGACAGUCUAACCCUGCUGAAAAAAAUGAUCUCGGCCUCUCAGUACGAGCGUAAUCUCAACCUACACUAAUCUAAGUAUCCACGACGCACUAACAGCAGUGAUACAAAAGAAAAGUCAGUUCCUGAAGCUAAAUUUGAUAACUUUUCAAAAAAUGCAAUAUGUAUGUUCUAUAGGUUUUCUCCUACGUCAAGUUCCAUUUCAACAUGUAAAAUUUAUCUAAACUCAUGACUUUAAGCUCCAAAUUCAGAUAUCAUAUAUAAACAUGCAAAUCAAAAUUUGAGCUACUAAAUAGGAUAAUUCAUACAAAUUAAUGCAUGCUGAAAUCUCAUACAAUUUAGGAGAAAAUCCGAUGAUUUCGGUGUACAUUAACCCACCUAAUACGCUAAUCCAAUCCCAGAAUGAACUAAAAUUUCACGAACACUUUCCUCUAGUUCUGAUUCAAAAGGGAGGCGAAGACAAUCCAGAAAUCCUGCUGCAUUUCAAAGCAUCAAUAGGUUCAGUUCGAAAAAGUAAAAGUGAUAACCAAUUCAAAUCUGCUGAUAAUACUUAAACCCUAGAUUCAUUACCUCUCUAAGAAUACAGCAAUCCACUUGAUUUGGGAACUUAACUCUCCGACUACCCUAAAUUACCAGACUAGAUUAUUGUUGCUGCUAGAAUCCUGUUAAAGCAUAAUUUUACUUGCGGAAAAUGCCAGCCGUUAGACUACAAUCUAACCAUCAAAUAUGCUAGAAGGAGGAGGAAGAGAUACAUUAUGAAAUCCUCAGCUCCUACACAUUGCUAACAUACGUUUACAUCAACUAUUCUGAAUCAAAAGAGGUUAGGAAUUGGGUCUAAUCAUCAAUGUGUAGUAUAUGCUAAUUUUAGAUAAUUUCGAAUCAAAAUCGAAAUUCUCCUUAUACUAACCUCCAAAUUAGCUCAAAGAACUCUUCCACUAGUUCAAGAUGAGGAUAAUUUCAUCUACGUCACCACCAAAGGACAGCUAAUAAAAUAGAUAAAGAGAAUUCCAUCAAAAUUCGGCUUCAACCACAAGUGGACUGCAUGAAGUUCUAACACAGCAUCAUAACAUUAAAUCAGCAAUUUAACUAUCAUGCUAUCUAAAUUUGAGAUGAAGGUUGCAGUCCACUAGAUCCUCUUACCUAUUAAAACACCUUCAUGAAUUAGAUUUUACUGCCAAUAAUUAAGAACGAGGUCAAAAGAACUCAAAAAAAAAAAGAAUCACCAAUGCUGAAAUUUUACUCACCCUACAAGAUUUUAGCAUUUAACUUCCACUAACAUGAUGUGAAGUGAAGUGAAUUAAUCACUUUUCUCACGUCUAAUAGCCAAUCUAAAACUUGUCACGCACGAGCCCGCUACCAAUUUGGUCCGGUUCGGGCGCGUUAAACAGACGCCGAACGGACAGUACCUCCCCUGUCUGCCUAAGGCUAAACAGCGAGAUCAUGUACAACAAGUUCCCAGGAAAUCACUUGAAUACAUACACAAUGAUACAACAAUAGCGAGAGCACAACCAGUACGAAACAACCAAGAGUAAGCAUCACAAGUAAAGUAUAUACGAGUGAAUAAAAGAGAGAUACUUAUCUAUUACAACCAUUCGACCUUUAUACAUCUGAUUAUAUUUAAACUUCCAAAACAUAACAUAAGGUUCACAAUCUUCCAAAAUAUCUUACACCUAUACAUUAUCUACUCUCAAGCAUAUAGGGUGACUACUAAUGCAAUAGGAAGCAUCUGCAACCUCUAGGGCGCUAAGCCCUUGCCACGAUCCUCGCCGGGGGUACUCAAGCUCGGCCCUACAACAAAGUGGAGUGAGAACUAUUGUCCAUAGUUUCCAGUGGGUUCGGCCGCCAACUCUGCCGAUCUCCCCACUAGGUCUAAGCAGGCAUAGGCAGAUAGAUAGAUAGAUAACUUGAAAGCAACGACAAUGAUAAGGAAAAAUGCAAGUACUCUACCAUGCCUUAAUCCAAUAUAAUAAAUGCAUGCAACUCAUAGUAAGGGCUAGCUACUAUACUACUAUGUUCAACCAUAAAACUAUUCAUUAGAUCACCCAAUCUCUCGGCUAACCCGGAGGCUUGCUCUCAAUCUCACGUUUUUGAGUCUCAUAGGGGAGGAGUCUCGCUGCUCAACUACCCCCGAGACCGCCUGCGGACAGCUAGCGGCUGUCUAGGUAGCACACGACGACUGCCUCUCGUGUGUCUAAACUCCGGAGUGCACAGCUUGUGUAGAGCAACCACUACAAGCGCAGACAGGCUAUGUGAGCACGAUCCAAUCCUUGUGAACCAAGGAUACCCUACCGAUUAGGGUUGUCAUCAUCAUGGAAUCAAUGUAUUCUUAUACUCAGCAUCCUAGUGCUUCGACUACACUAAGGUUCUCAUAUUCCACUCGUUCUUGUGUUUACAUUUAACUAGAUGCCACUCGUUAUCAAUUAAGUGUUUCCAAAACACUAGUUGUACACAAUCACUAGGUUUUCAUUCACCUAGGAUCCAAUCCACAUGUAUCAUCUCAUUAUAGGGUUAUUAAUCAACAUGUCUCAACCUCAUGCAUACUAGGCCCAAGUGUUAAACAAGCAACAUCACACUACCCCUAGCAUACAAGAAUAUACAACAACUAAUAAUGCACCCUAUAAUGUAUCAUGCUCAAUAUGCAACUUGAUCAAUAACGAGACUUAGACAUAGGGGCAGUUCAACUGCUUCGGGAUGGUCACCACUCACUUGUUGGCGAUGCUACGAAGUAGGAAAGGAACUCGAAACCUCCUAGGAUGCUACUUUGGCCCUCCGAAUAGAGACGAAGCCCAACGCCCUCCGCUUGGCAAUAUCUACGCACCAACUCGACGAAUAAUCGAACCGUCGCCGCCAACGCGUUUAGAUACCUAGCAAUUAGGUUUACAACCAACCAACUUAGAUCAAAACCCUAGAUUUCCCAAAACCCCAUUUUGGAGCCCUAGGUUGCAAUUAAUGCAUUAACUCACCAACAAAACCCUAGAUUCAUGCAAUUAGCACAUCACUAGCAUCAUAGGGUUUACCUAAAACCAAUCCUAGAGUAUGAAAUUCCUACCCUAGAAACCCACCAUUAAAGAGGUUGGAGCUUACCUCACUAGCUUGCUCCUCCUAAGCCUCCAAGCCCAAGAAGAAGAAGAAGAGGAAGAAGAUCCUUCUCUUGGUCUUAAGCUCCACCUAACCUCCCACCUUCUUCACUUCUAGAGAGAGAGCAAGAGAGUAAGCUCUAGAAAGAGAGAGGGAAGUGUUUAGAGUUGUAAAAGAGUGAAGAGAGAGAGAGAAGAGAUGCCCUAGCACUCUUAUGCACUCCCACUUACACACACUUGCAAGAAACCCCCUCAACUUUCAAUAUAUCACACAGCCCAUUUUUGGGCAUUUCAGGCUACGGGGACCGGUCCCUUUAAGGGAGGACCGGUCCGCGAGAGCAAUUUUCUCAGCUUGAGCUCCAGCUCAACCCUUACACGCGUAUGGGGACCGGUCCCUCUUAGGAAGGACCGGUCCCAAAGAGCAAUUCUGGCAGGUUGAGCAUCAGCUCAACCCCCACAUGCUUACGGGAACCAGUCCCCUCCCAGAGGGACCGGUCCCCGAGAGCAUAAAAUCUGCGAUUUGUGCAGAUUUUGCACUACUUGCUCUCGCGGGUCGUCCUCAAUGCACUUUAUGCAUUUCUAUCGCAUUCGGACUUCCCGAAGCAUACCAACUCGACAAUUAGCCGACUCUAAGCGAAGUCUAACUCUCGGAUUUCGAGAAUUCACUUCCUUGCAAAAACCAAUCCUAAGUUGCCGAAAAAUAAGAUUCAAAUCCCUCUCUAAUUCCUGCAAUUGGAGUUAGGUCGCUGCUGCUACCAACCUUCCUGAGCCUGCGCAGGGAAAGGAAACAGCAAAGAGGAAGGGAAUGAGAGGGGAAGAAAAAGAGAAGAAGUAGGAGAUGAAAAAGAGAAUAGAUGAUUCUAUUCUCUGCUGGGUACUUAAAGGAUAAGACUCUCAUUUAAGGGUGGUUGGGAGUAGUUAAGUUGCACACAAGGUGUUACUUAAGCACAUUAACAUGAUCCAAUUGAGAAUGCAUUCAGUUCAGAGUAAUUUGCAACAUCAAUUGUUGCGUCCAAACCAAAUCUGACUUCUCUCGGCACUCUCCCGAAGUGCCGACUAAAUCACAUAUCGCAAAAUUUUGAAAAAAUACUAUUUUGAUAUUUUUCCUGCACACUACAUCAGAUACAGUAGUCUUUCGACAGUUAAGCACCAGGGACACUACAACACGUCUAAUCGUAUAAUGUGAUCUUUGCAUAAUAUCGACCUGAAAUAAAAACACUCAUAAAAACUACACUUAACUUUCUUUAUAUAUAAAAAUAAAUAUAAAGAGAUAUUAUAUAUUAAAAUCAUACCAAUACUCUCUCGACAUGUCCACGUGGCUGAUUCGCAAGGGGUGGGCGCUGUACUAGUCUAGAUAUCCACCUCCUGGUGCUCCUCCAAUACUACUGCAUGUAAACAAUGGUAGCUCGUAUAGGAUCUGAAUCUAUUUCAACGUCCACCUCUACUAUAUUCAUCAAUUUAUCAUCCCAAUACUAAAUAUAUGAAGCAUGAUAUGUCAUCCAAUUCUCAUCUGCUCUAUCUCGUGAAGUGAUACGAGAUAUAACAACCACUGCUUCAGGUAUACUGUAGAAGAUCAAACUGUCGAAGCAAACGAUCUAAAAGAUGCAGCUCAAUAAUAUGGAAGCAGACUAAUGUGGUCCUAGAUCGCCAAACCUGGGACCCCGCUACACAAAAAGGUGGGAAUGUCUCUAAUACUACAUCUGUAUAAGGUCUCAAUGUAAUCUAUUGUGAAAAUAAAUAUGGUUACUUACUCUCUCGUUUUUAAAUAUAAUUUACAAUUAUAAUAAAAUUGAGUUACUUUCAUUUAUCUAAGACUCAUAGCUACUAAUCAAGAUGAUCACGAUAAAACUCAAUGUUAGUAGUAUUAACAUUAUCCCGAAAGGAUUCCUCAUCAUCACUAGAAUCAACAUCAAUUCGCCCUUGAUCCUCUUCAUCACUUUUAAUAAUAUACCCCUCAUCACUUUUAAUUAUGUCCUCAUUAUCAAUUGUAGUUCUCAUUUCCCAAUCGGUCCAUUUACGACCACUAAAUAAUGGACCUCAACUUUGAUUAUGAGGAAUACUCAACCUGCAAAGAUAUUUAAGAUUAACUAUUCGCAUUGGUCCAAUUUUUAUGUAACUAAAUUAUACAAUCACCUACCUCUUAUUUUGACCAAUCAAUGGAGACGGAUCCAUCGUAGUAGAUGGCAAUGAUGCACUAACUAGCAUACAUGGGACUCCAAACUCUCUAUAACACUUACAAAACAAAGUUAUUAAUUUUGCAUACAUAAACUAAUUGAGGAAUUAUAACAAAUAUUUAUACAAAUCAUUACUAUAUAUCUUAAUGUAGGAACUCAUUCGCAAUUGACAUAAUUUCUUUGAUAAUCACUACUAAGCAUUUCCAUGUAGUUAACAGUACUUGGACGGUCUUGUGUCGUCAACACAUGUUUCUCUACGAAUAAUUUUAUACAUUCAUGUAACGAAAAAAAACUCAUCACACCAAAUAGUGCAUUGUCACUUGAUAUGUUAACUUAUAAUUCUCAUUUGUUAGCUCCUAUUGGACAUCAAACCAUUAUGUGGAGACGGUUUUCCACUCAAUCAUAGUUAGUAACCCUUAUAUAUUUCCCUUUCAAAUUUUCGAAAUGUGAUAUUACGUUGAAUAGCAACCAAUUCUUUACUGCCACCAAGAUAUCGUGGUACAUUAUUGUUCACGACUAAGUUUUCGUCCCAAUGGAUAUAAAAAGUGUUAGAAUUCGUCCACAUUAGGAUUUAUCUAAAAUAUUCCUAAUCCAUAUGGAAUAAGGAAUAAAUAUUGGUAGUUAUCUAAGAUAUUCCUUGUCCGCAUGGGAUAAUAAAUAAAUCUAAGAAAUAUAUCCUAAUCUGUUUAAAUAUCUAUCUAUGUGAGAUACAGUUAGAAUAGGAUUAGGACUAACGUCUCCCUUAUGGCCUAUAAAUAUAUAAGGUAUUGGCCACUUUCAAUAUACAAGAAAAAUUAAUUAAUUUCUCCACAAAAGUCUCUCUCGGGUUCGUUCUAGGGCACCGUCGGAAACCCUAAGGAUUUGGGCGGUGUGCGGUGAUCGACUCUAGUAGCUAGAUUGCGACGAGUAAGAACAACGUGCAACAAAUUGAAAUAGGUAUUUGGCAGAUUAACGAGUUCAUAAAACAAGACGAGGUCUAAUCCUGGUAAUUGUAAUAUAUUCCGCAGUGAAAGAGGUAUGUAAAAAUCUAUAUGAUUUUUGUGAUUUAUUUUGGGUAUUAGUUUAUCCAACAGUGGUAUCAGAGCGGCGUAGUGCUUGUUUUCGCUCGAUGAUCUAUUUUUUUUUUUUAUAUCGAAUAGAUUUUUAAUUGUUGUUUUUUAAACAACAAAUUUGCAUUGAUUCGUAUAAGAGAAAAAAAAUAAUAAUAAUAACCGGCAAAAUUUUUGAGUCGCAAUUGGUAGACUACACCGGGUUUAGAAGUGCAUGAUAGACCAUCUAGCCCGUGAGCUCGACUAGAUUAGGCCCGCUGUGUGUUGGGACCGCAUGCAAGUUUGACCAGCAUACCAGGCCUACGGUGCCCACCCAUGAUGGACUUGCAGGGCUCGCUCGCAAUGGGCCUGCGAGGGCCUUCCCUAAUUGGGCCCUAACGCGUUGGUAGGCCCAAUGCCUUGGGCCGCGGAUGAGCGCAGGCUGCAUUGUGGGCCAAUUGCAGCUCGCAAGCCUAAUUCCGUAAUUCGUGGUCUUGAGUUAUGUUCGAUGUGAGACUUGAACCCACAGCCUUAGCAUAAGGCUUACUUCCUCUAACCAUCCAGACCAAUAUUUAAUUGUGCAAAAUUAUGUAUGUCAUAUUAAUAUGUAUUAGUUAUUGUCGUCUUAUAUACAUUAUAGUUACUUGACAAAAUUGCAAUAUUUUUUUAAUUUGCGAUGUGGAUUUAUUCUUGAUCAAUUUGAUAUAUUAUUUUAAUCUGUAUUGGAUGAGAUGAUUAUUUUCAAAGACGAAAUUUUUUAUUUCAAGAUGCAAUGAGAAAUUUUAUUAUCAAAUUGGAUUGAGAAUAAGAUUAUGGAUAUUUGUGCCUAAUUUAAAAUUAUAUGUAUUAUUAUAGUGAUAUAUGGUUUCCAAAAUAUUUUUAUCGCAGAUUUGCUAUUGAUGAAAAGAAUUAUGUCAUAUGGUAUAGAAAAAUUCAAUAUCUCCUUAAUAAAAGAAGAGUACUUAGCAUUUAACUAACAGCAUGGUUCGGCCUGAAGAUGGCACGACGAUCAGCACUGUUGUGAUUUGCAAGCGUAUAAUGAGUGGCUUGAAAAAGAUCAAAGUGCACGCUAUACGAUGUUGAUCUGUAUGCAUGAUGACUUGAUCAAAGAAUUUGAGAGUUAUGAGACUGCUAAGAAUAUGUUGGAGCAGCUCAAAAUAAAAUAUGUUAGUAUAUCAACCACGAGACUUCGUGUCUUGAAUCUCAAAUUCAAUCAGUACAUGUUGGACUCAAAAUAUACUAUGGCAAAGCACUUGCGGGUGAUGUUUGCCAUGAUAAGAGAACUUAAAGUAGCUGGUUGCGAGCUGACUAACGAACAACAGGUUUAGUCAGUUAUAAGGUCCCUACCGGAUUCAUCUUGGGAUCAAGUCAAGUUAGUGCUAACUCACAAUGAGGGUAGUAAGGCCUUCGAUGUUAUAGCUCGACAUCUUGAGUUGGAAGCAAAGCGCAGAGAGGCGAACCAUACAAACGCACUUGUUGCCCAUGGUGGAUAGUGCAGAGGCAAGUGGCCUAAGCGUAAACACCGAAAUGGAGAAAACAAAUAUAGAAGACUGGGAAUCGCACGUCGAAUGAGGGCGGAAUAGAUAAGCGCUGCAAAGGCAUGCGUGGAAAGAAAAACUUAAAUAAAGUGAAAUACUAUAACUGUGGAAACAUGGGACACUUCGCUCGUGAUUGCACUGAGCUGAAGAAGGUAAAUCCUAAUCCUGACUCUCUUAUUUAUGUAUGUUCUCAUGUUUUUGUUGCUCACGUUUUCUCUGAUUGGAUUGUAAACACCGGAGCAACAAAGCAUGUAACGAGAGAUCGAGCAGAAUAUGUGGAUUAUCAUCGAUGUCUACCGGCAGCCAUUAUGUCACGAUAGGAAACGACACUGCGGAAGAAGUCCUUGGUAUUGACGCAUACCAAUUUAGAUUGCACAAUGGUUGUUAUUUAAUAUUACAUGAUGUGCUGUAUGCACCAAAUAUUCGAUGUAAUCUAUUAUCAGUUUUAGCAUUUUAGAUUAGGUUUUUUCUUUUCAAUUUAUGGAUACCUAGUUAGCUAUUUAUUUGGGUAAGGACUUUUAUGGUAAUGGCUAUUUAAAGAAUGAUUUCUUUGUCUUAAAUUUGGACUUGGAUUUUAUUAAUAACAAUAAUAAUUUUGAUUUAUUAGUUUCUUCUGAUAUCGUGUCUAAUUCUGUAAAAUGGUAUGCAAGAUUGGGUCACAUUGGACAAGAAAGAAUAGUUAGACUAGCUAGAGAAAGCCUGUUGGGGUCACUCGCUAAGCUUAGCCUACCUCCUUGUAAACCAUGUUUAGUAGGAAAGGCCUGCAAAAAGCCAUUUGGUAAGGCACGUAGGGCGACUCAUCCUUUGGAGCUAGUUCAUUCUGACAUAUGUGGACCUAUGAAUGUGAGAGCACGUCAUGGCGCGUACUAUUUCCUCACUUUCAUUGGUGACUAUUUUCGUUUUAGUUCAGUAUAUCUGUUGUCUCACCAUUCAGAAAGUUUGGAUUACUUUAAAUGCUUCUUGGUGGAGGUUGAUAACCAAAUUGAAAGAACUCUAAAAGUUCUACGUACUAAUAGAGGGCGAGAGUAUUUAUCAGACCAGUUUAGAAAACUAUGUGAGAAAAAAGGGAUACGCAGACAGUUGGCUAUCUAAAAUAUUCUUAAUCUAUAUUGGAUAAGGAAUAAAUAUUGUUAAUUAUCUGAUAUAUUCCCGGUCCGCAUGAGAUAAGGAACAAAUCCAAGAACUAUAUCCUAAUCUGUUUAAAUCUCUAUCUAUGUGAGAUUCAGUUAGAAUAGGAUUAGGAUUAACGUCUCCCUUAUGUCCUAUAAAUAUAUGAGUUAUUGGCCAUAUUCAAUACACAAGAAAAAUUAAUUAAUCUCUCCACGAAAGUCUCUCUCAGGUUCGCUCUAGGGCACUGUCGGAAACCCUAGAGAUUUGGGUGGUGUGCGGCGAUCGACUCUAGUAGCUAGAUUGUAACAAGUAAGAACAACGUGCAACAAAUUGAGACAGGUUGUUGGCGGAUUAACGAGUUCGUAAAACAAGAUAAGAUCCGAUCCUGGUAAUUGUAAUAUAUUCCGUAGCAAAAGAGGUAUGUAAAAAUCUAUAUGAUUUUUGCGAUUUAUUUUGGGUAUUAAUUUUAUCCAACAGAAAGGAACACAUUCGUUGGGCAUAGAGUUCUAAACUAAUAUAAUAAAAUAUACAAAAGUAUUACACUUAUGACAUAUUAACAUAGAACAUCUCUAACAGACAACAAAGGAGAGGGUGAGUGAUGGAAUUAGCAUUUUGCGGACACGGUCGGUGCGACUUCUAUGCUGUCACACCCUGAAUUACUACGUUUUCCCGAGCACGCCAAUAGACCGACCAUAUACAUAGAAAUUUCUCGUGUAUACGAAGCGAUAGCUAUACCUGUAAAUAAAAUAUAGCUACAUAAGAGGUAAGGAGCUGCUAUAACUAAACCAAACAUAUAUAUAAAACAUAAAAGGGUCCAUUGUACAUACAUGAGCCACAUAACAACCUCACUCUAGUGAGUAUCACUACUAUAACAGUAUGCACAAGGUAACAACCCAAAACUACCUCUAACGGGUGCUCCUCUAGCAAAAGACCAGGAAUGGAAAGGAUCUAGCUCGCGACUCCCUUACCACGGUCGAAAUCAGCAGCAGCAGUAGCCGCAGACAAAGGCUCUGCAAAAAAGUGGCAACAACUGGGUAUAAGAACUGCUGCAAAACAGAGUAGUCCUCAGUGGGUACCAUCACCGACCUCAAUGGCCCGCCCACUAAGUCUACAGUAAGGUAUGCAAAGAAUAGUAAGGAAAGCUGAAAAGAACUCUACAGUUACAUUCCACUAUAUUAUCGCUAACCAACACAGGCUAUCUGUAGACAUAAACAUGCAUCAUACUGACCCAAUCUCACAAGAGCUGCCCAAACGGACCCACCCUGCCUGUAGCCAAGCUACACCGUACACCACCCAUGGGGGUAGCCGGUCCAUGUACACUGUCCAAACAUGACUACUGUGACAUCAACGCAAGUAAAGCCUUACUCCGGAGCAGCAUUCGUGGGCGCGACCCAACCGAGUAUUCAAGCGUGUCUCUGUUGAGCUCAAUCAAGCUCACAAAGGCUAUAGUCGAUGCAAAUGGGUCAAACUGGUCUAACAACCAAAGUUCACGUGCCCUCGGCACAAUCUGAAACAAGAUGUAAACAUAUGGGUCCACCGUCCUCCUCGACGGCACCCGAUAGUACGGAACAGUCCAAAUGCUAUUGUAAAAUGAGCUCGGCCCCCUAGCACGAGUGUAAACUCAACCUACACUAAUCUGAGUAUCCACUAUGCACUAACAGCGGUGAUACAAAAGAAUAACAGCUCCUGAAGCCAAAUUCAGUAACUUUUUGAAAAGUGACAAGUGUAGGUUUACGAGUUUUGUCCUAAGUCAAAUCUCAGUUCAACAUGUAACAAAUAUUCUAACAUUAAUGCUCCAAAUUUAGAUUUCAUAUAAACAUGCAAAUCUAUGAAUUCAAGCUACUAAACAUGAUGAACGAAGCCAAGAAUACAUGCUGACAACUCUAUGACUUAGAAGGAAAUCUGACGAUUUUGGUAAAAAUUAACCCACCUCGAACGCUCGUCCAACAUCAACUAGAAGUCGAUAGGAGAAGCCUCACGCUACCUCGACCUCCAACGGCCUCAACUAGACUCAACCACGUCGCGCGCGCAAUCCUCCAAAGACAAGCGAAGAAAACUAAGAUCGAGCCUGAAAAAAUGCUAGGAAGAAGGCAAGAGAGCUAGAGAGAGAAAAGGAGCCACCCUACCUGAGUUCUCCAAGCUCCAAGCACAAUUGAGAGAGUAACAGGGUCGGUUUGGUUUUAUCGCCAACAAAAAUGACCGAAAGGCUCUUUACCAACUCAAUUUGCCUUUUGGAGUACCGGUACACAACUUGGGUACCGAUACUCAGCCCUUUUUCUGCAAGCUCGCGCGUUGGGUACCAGUACUAGCCCGAUGCAGUAUCGGUACUCAGUCCCAGUACCGGUAUUCACUAACAGGUACCGGUACUAAGUAUCAACUGCGCAAACCCGAGCGCAUUCAGUUCUGUAAUCCCUCUGGGGUACCGGUACGCCUCCCAGAUACCGGUACUCAACACUGAAAUCCUGCACUUCGCAGAUUUCAGUGUCAGAACUCUACUCACACUACGUCGAGUUUGUUUUGCGUCCAAUUCACGCUAAAAUGACUCUGACUUAUCCCGGUACCCACCAGACGUGUCAACAAGCUACAGAUGCUGAAGUCUCGCAGGCAACCCAACACGAGGGACAAUACAUAUGUUGAUUAAAAGCUCUGGAGGGAAGGGGUUGAUUACAGAGAGAGAGUAAUCUGAGAGAGAGAGAGAGAGAGAGAGAGAGAGAGAGAGAGAGAUAGAGAGAGAGAGAGAAUGAUUUGUGAGAGAGUGUGUGUGUGAUCUGAGAGAGAGAAAGGGAGGGGGGGUCAGAAAGAGAGAAUGGGGUUCUGUAGAGGGGUUUGGGGGAAGGGGUAAUAGGUGUAUAGAGAGAAUAAAAGAAAGAGAUAAAUGUGAGAGGUAGGGGGCUCUGUGAGAAAGGUUGGGGGGGUGUGCGUAGUGAGAGAGUGAGAGGAAGAAAGAGAGGUGAGAGGUGGGGGGCUCUGUAAGAAGGGUUGGGGGGGUGAGGGGGUGUGCGUAGUGAGAGAGUGAGAGGAAGAGAGAGAGAUGGGGGGUUCUAGGGUUAGAGAAAGAAUGAGGAGAGGGGGGGAUAGCUUAGGCCAUAGAAAGAGAGAGAGAGAGAGAGAGAGAGAGAGAGAGAGAUCCGGAGAUCGAGCGAGAGAGGAGGUGGGGAAGAUAGCUUGGGCAAGGUAAGCGGUCUAAUACGAAGAGAACACGGUGAAUGAUUUAUCGUGUUCAACUUAACAUCUUGGCACUAGCCCUGCUCGCGUGGCGCUGACGUGAGUCACGUGACGCCCGCAUGGCAGGGAGAAGACCAAAAUUGUAAUUAUAAAUUUGGUGAGGCUAUUUUUGAAAUAAAUUUUUGAGGGAGCCAAAUACAAAAUAAAAGCCUUUUUUAUAAUAGUCUCCUGUUAGCUUUACAAUAAUAUUUUUCUAAGUAGAAAUAGAUUAAUUAGGUAAAAAGAUUAAAACUUUAGAACUGUAAAAAAAAUCAUGACAAGUAUCUGCUUUUAGCCCAAAAAAACGUAUGGUGACUAAUAAAAAAAAAUACUUGAAGUGAACAAAUGAGCCACUUUGCAAAAUCCAAAAAUUAAAAAAUGACUAAAAAUAAUUAAAUAUGUGUAAAGUGAACGUCAAUAUGAAAAUUGCAAUUACUUGUUUCGGUACUCAUACAAAAGACUACCUUUAAAUUUUUCUCACCAAGAAUGGAUGGGGCUUCCUCAUCUACAGGCCUUAUUCACGUGAACCGGUUAAAAUUUUCUUUUGAAGUGACUUUUUUUUUUUUUUUUUUUUUUUUUUCAAGAGUAAAUUUCAAUUUGCUCUCUUAGGUUAAGCUUACAUUUUUACUUUGAUAUUUCUAUGUUCAAAACUUGCACUCUGCUAUUGUAUGAUUUAAUUUUUAUUUUAUUUAAAAAUUUUAUGUCAAAUAGGAUGGCAAAGUAAAAAAUUUUAAAAAAAGUCAUAUGAUGAGAAAAUAAAAAAUUGUGGUAAACCACAAGAUAGUUAAUUGUCAAAGAGCUUGUUUUUGUGUGUGUCGGUGUGUUGAUUUGAAACGUAAUUUUUUUUUUCAAUUUAGUAUAAGGUCGGGCAAAAAACUUUCUAAAUUUAACUUUUUAGCUAACUAAGUUUAGGCUUAACCUUGUAAACUUAUCCAUCAACUUGUGUUAUAGGGCCAAAACACGCUUUCUAGAUGAUUAUUUUUUUCAUUAGGAAACAACUUAAUUCAGUAAGAAAAUUAAAACUUCAAAAUUAUAAAAUAUUAUGACUAAUUAUAUUUUUUUAACAUUAAAUUGAUACAAUGACUAAUAUGAGACUUCAGAUAGUUAUAUAUAUAUAAGAAGUAAUAGGGCUGAACUUGUAACUCAGCUUAAGCAUUUUGAGUGAUGGUUAGAUCCAAGAGAUUAAGAGAGUUAAGCGUGCUAGGACGAGAGUAGUCCUAGGAUGGAUGACCCCCUGGAAAGUUUGGGUGUCACAGUUGGUAUUAGAGUUAAUUACUAGCCGCAAGUGUGAGAUGAGUCUUAGCUGAAUCAGGGUCAAAAUGACAAUGCUAGCAAGACGAGUCUCUCAUCGCCUGAUACUUGUGAGUCUGAGCCUGAUGCGGACGUCAGGGCUUAAAAGGGGGAGAAUGUGAGACCCCAGAUAGUCCUAUAUAAAAGGUAUAAUAGGGCUAAAUUCUUAACCCAACUUAAGCAUUUUGGAUUGUGGCAUUUUGGGUGAUGGUUAGGCCCAAGAGGUUAAAAGAGUUAAGCAUACUAGGAUAGAAGUCCUAGAAUGGGUGACCCCCUGGGAAGUUAGGGCAUCACAACGGUACAUAUCAUUUACUCAUAAUUUAGAGGGGAUAUAUUUUGGUAAAAAAAUUAAUGGCUAUAAAUUUUAGGCCAAUUUGCAUAAAAAAUCCACAAGUUUUGAGCUUUUGCAAAAUUUGGCUGUCUUUUUUUAUUUUGCAGAUUCAAUUCGAAUUUUCAACAAACUGAUCAAAAUACCCUUAUUUCUUUUUUUCCCUCCUUUUUUUUUCUCUCGUUCCUUUUUUUUUUCUUUCCGAAGAGGCAGUGGAGGCAGAGGCCUUUGCCUGCGCACCCUCGUUCUCGACUGCGCCCGCACCUCCCGCCCUCCUCGCCUCCAACCCUGCCGAGGCAGCGCCGCUGCCUUCUUUUUUUACUCUUCGACCCUCCUCCACGGCCUCUCCGGCCCAUCCGAUGGUAACGAGGACGGCAACAUGUUCUCUUUCUCCGCCUUCGCUUUCCAAAUCUACUGUAGCAGAUUUUGCACCCACCAAACUCACUUCUAGGAACGUGUUGUCCACACCACCGCUGCCGACGACAAAGAGGAAGUGCUUUUCAGCGCCGAAAAGCUCGCCGGCGAGGGAAGGGCCAAGCGGCCCACCCGCCUACCCUAGAGGGCGACGGUGAGCGCGGCCUCGGCGAUGUUGGAGGCGAAGAAGGCGAGGGGUGCAUGGAAGCAUCUUUGGAUUAGCAGUUUUGUUUGUUUAAAACUAAACAAUAUUAACUAAAGGCCAAAAAUUAGAGAAUAAUAAAGAAAAUCGAGAAGAAGGAAGAAAAUGAUGAAUUUUCACUGUUUUAAAAGAAUGUUGCACUAUUAUAAACGUAAGUUGCACUAUUUGAGAUGUAAACUGCACCCUUUAAGAUGAAAGUUACACUUUUUAAAUAAAAAUUGUACUCUUUGGGAGAUAUUUACACACUCUUUGAGAUGUAAAUUGCAUCUUUUAAAAUGAGAGUUGCAAUUUUUAAAUGAAAGUUAUACUCUUUGAGAGAUAUUUACACUAUUUUUUCUCUUAAAAGGUGCAGUUUAUACCUCAAAGAGUGCAACAAGAGGGAAAAUAGUGUAAAUAUAUCUCAAAUAGUGCAACAAGAGGAGAAACAGUGUUAGUGUUUCUCCUCUUGUUGCACUAUUUGAUGUAUAAACUGCACCUUUUACGAGAAAAAAUAGUGUAAAUAUCUCCCAAAGUGCAACUUUUCUUUAAAAAGUAUAACUUUUAUCUUAAAGGGUGUAGUUUAUAUUUCAAAAAGUAUAACUUACAUCCAUAAUAGUGCAACGUUCUUUUAAAACAGUGCAAUUUAAUCUUGUAACGACUCAGCCCACUAGCAACAAUAACUUGUUGGGCCCAACCACCGGCCCAAAAUGCUUAAGCCCAGUUAUUAUUGUUAGUGUCUAAGUCUCUUAUAUACCCAAUGACAUUCUCAUUCAUAUCCGAUGUGGGAUUAUUGGGGUAUGACAGACUCCCCCCGUUAAGGCCCUGACGUCCUCGUCAAUCCAAUCACACACACAGCCCAAGAUCACCAAGCGAUGUGAGACUUGUCUCGCUAGCCUUUGUCAUUCCGACCCUGACUUAGCCUAUCAAUCAUCGACCCUGGCUUAGUCUGUCAUUCCGACCCUUACUCAGUCAAGACCCAUCUCAUACUUCCGGCUGGUGAACUGCCUCUGAUACCAAAUGUAACGACUCAACCCACUAGCAAUAAUAAUUUGUUGGCUCCAACUACCACCCAAAAUGCUUAAACCCGGUUAUUAUUACUAAUGUCUAAGUCUCUUAUAUACCCAAUCACAUCCCUAUUCCUAUCCAAUGUGAGAUUAUUGGGGUGUGACAAAUCUUAACAGUGCAACUUCAUUUUCUUCUUCUUUCUUCUCUGGUUUUCUGUAUUAUUCUCUAGUUGUUGGCCUUUAAGUUAUUUCCUUUUGUUUUAAACAAAUGAAAGUGCUAAUUUAGAUAUGCUCCCGUACAAUUCUCGCCCUCCUCAACUCCGACACUGUUGAAGCCGCGCUUACCGCUGCCCUCUGGGGUAGGCCGGUGGGCCGCGUGCCCCCUCCCUCGCCGGCGAGCUUCUCGGUACCAAGAAAUGCCUCUUCUUUAUCGUCGGUGGCGAUGGUGGGGACGCAAGUUCCCAAAAGUGGGUUCGGUGGGUACAAAUUUACUUUCACCCAAGUGUAACUAUUUUUCUCCCCCUCCCUCGUGGGCGUGCUUCUCGGCCUCAAAAAGCACUUCCUCUUCAUCAUCGGCAACGACAGUGGGGAUGGCGAGUUUGUUUGGCGGAUGGAAAAUCCGCUGUAGUGAAGGUGGAGGGCGAAGACGGAGGAAGAGGACGCGGUACCAUCCUCGCUAUCGUCGUGGAGGGCCGAGAAGGCGGUGGAGGAAGGUCAGAGAGAAAAAAAAGAGGGUUGCCGCGCAGCCUCGACGGGGUCGGAGGCUAGGAGGGUGCGGGGUGCACGGCCGAGGGCAGGGGCAAAGGCGAGGGUGAGGGCGGGAGGGGCAGAGGCGAGGGGGGUUGUUUCUGCCUCUGCCUCCGCCGCCAUCUUCAACGAGAAAAAAAAAAUGCGAGAAAAAAAAAAGAGAAAGAAAAAGAUAUAAGAGUAUUUUGGUCAAUUUACUGAAAAUCCGGACUGAAUCCGCAAAAUUGAAAAAGGUGGACCAGUUUUGCAAAAGCUCAAAACUUGUGAAUUUUUUAUGCAAAUUGGAAACAAAUAAAACUAGGUAAAGUGAAAAUAAUAAUAAAACUGCAAGUACCUAGAGCAGGACUCAAAAAGGAAUAGCUUUAAAAUUAAUUUUGUCACGCCCUACACUUCAGCGAAAGCUCACCAGUCGCGUGCACAGACCCGCCGUAUACACCACCACCUCUAGUGUAUACCAGGCGUCUACAAUCCACAUAGUAAAAGCAUAAUAUCUUAACCGGGUAAUCAGAGCAAACCUUAAAAGUUCAAAAGCUUAUAUCAACAUAAAACCAAAAUACAACUUAAAAGUAAAGUAUAAAGUACAUUCUAACAGUCCCAAUAUACAUCUCUGAACUAAACUAAAAUAAGCUUGCAUCAGUUCAUCUAUUUAACACCGACGAGGUUCUAGCUAGCUGCUGACCCCUUGCUAGGAACCCUAGCCUUUCCCACUGCGGAAGGCUCUAUACAAAAGCAACCAACAAAAGAGCAUGAGAACUAUUUAACAAUAGUUUCCAGUGGGUAAGCCGCCGAGAGUGGCGAAGUACACCACUAGGUCAACUGAGGCAUGAGUAAACAACAAUAAAUAAGAAAUGUAAAUACAACAAACAUAUAAAGUGAAUUUACUAUAAACAUGUCUCAACAAGAUAUGCUUUCUAACAUGUCUUAUGUACUAGUUCAUCAUAUACAAGUUUUAUGAGUCAUGCUAAUUAUCAGUUUAAUCAUCUAUAUGUCAAGAUUCAUGCAGGAUAUCAUCAUUACAGUUUAACUAGCUAAUGACAUCAUGUAGCUAUCUUCCUACACUAACAGAAGUGUAAUCAUACAGGUAAUGUCAUUACAUCUAAUGACUAACAGGAUUGGCUACCGUCUAGUAUGUUUAUUACUAGAUAUAUUUCAACUAAUGACAUAAAGUACCUUUACUACUAUGUCCAUUUAAGGUUAAACUCAUUUACAUUAACCCAAUUAACAAGAGACUUACACUUGGUAAAGUCCUGGCUCGUGCCAUGCCUAAUGGCCCCGUGGAAGUUAACACUACCCACGGCAAUCGACUUCGACGCUCAGUCUCAUACAAGCGAUCUGCUGUAGCGUAGGCCAACUCCGGAGUGCCGAAUUGUAGGGCGCGACCCUCACAUGCAUGUGCGAAUGAGCAUAUUGGCAAGCAAGCGUAAUCCAUAGUAUAGUAUUCACAAGUUCAUCAUGUCUCUAACAUGAAAUCUUAUCUUUGACACAAGGUCGACAAUUAACAAUAAGUCAUAUUCUACUAUCAACUACUUGGUGACAUAUUUCAACCAAUGGAUAUUAUGACUUAAACAGAUACAUGAUUUAUAUCAUAUUGAUGAUUCUAACGGCUAUACCCGCAUACUCACAUAUAGUCCUCUCACUACUCUUUGCACAUAAAGAAAGUGGUUUACUAAGGUCAUACUCAAUGACUCACUCUGGUUAUCACAUAACUCAUGGCACAUAUCCUAUAUCUCUACAUAAACCUCCACUACAUGGAGUAAACAAGUAUUAUGCAAUUACUUCUACUUGACUACACAAGUAUAACAUUUCACGACCCUUAGGUCAUAAUCUAUAUCAUUAGGUCCAAUUCUAGUUAUUUAAAUAGAUCAUAUUCAAUAGUAUAAUGUUCAUGUUAUGUCAAAAUGCCCAGUUCUAGUUACUUAACUAGAUCAUACAUAAGAACACAAAAUUCAUGCGAUUUCUACCAUGUGAAAAAUGAUAAUCAACUUGUUAACACAAGUAGGCAAGACAUCAUAUAAGGUACUCUAUAUAUGAUUUCUAUACAAUUCAGUCCACAAUAUAAAUGUAUAUGUAUGUAACUCCAUUAUAUAUAAUAUGCUAGAAGUUCUGUCAUCAUUUCUACCACAUGAAAUUACAUGAUUUAACUCAAAGGUACGACAUCAUAAUACUGUUGGAACAAAUACCGCACAGAAAUCUGAUUGUGAUUUAAAUCUAACAAAAUCUUAUGAUAAAAUUAAUAAAAUCAACUUACCGAUAAUCGCUAAGUCCAAAUAAAAAUUUAAUUGAUCCGGAAGCGUGCGAGGCACUGCCCUAAGGCGUAUUUCCGUCCUUACGUGCGGGAUUAACCGGAAAUAACACCCCAAGGUACGACCGGAAUUCCUCCUCCUGCGAGCACGAUCGUGAAGGAGGUUGACGGAGACUCUUUCAACACCCGAUGAUAAAGAAAUCAAGUAAAUAAACAAUUGAUAAAAAAACUUAAAUUAAAACCCUCUUUUCACUUGUUGUUUUUCCACCGUGUUCAUAUAUCUAUGAACAGUAGAACAAGUGUAUAUAAAUAUAUAUACAGGGGAAUGAGAAAACUUAACGUUGGUAUUCCCAACGUUAACAUUUUCUUAAUUAGCCCUUUUAAUUAGCACCCACAUGAAUGUCCGCAUGGAUUCCAUGCGGACAAAUAGCGCGAGCAUGCGUAACGUCCGCGCGUGCACAGUGCGUGCGGACGUUCGCUUAAAAAAUAAUAAUAAUAAAAAUAAAUUAAAUUAAUAUUUUAAAAUAUGAAAUUUAGAGAUUUUGAAUUUUCUCCAACAAAUACAUCAUUCAUUCAAUUGUACAACUAACUAAAUGUCAUAUUCAUAGCUUUACAGCUAUUUAUUAUUGAAUGAUGUCAUACUUAACUUGUCUACACAAGUUUACUAAUAUCAUGAAUACAUGCUAAACGAGCGAGUAAUCUAUAUAAGCUAAGCAAUUUCAUAAUCUUUCCUCUACUACAUAGAGAUUCUCUGAUGUCCGAUAUAAAAUGCAUAUUGAUGCAUACACCAAACAUUCACACAUAUAUCCAAAUGAAUAUGCAAUAAUUCUAAUUUUAUAAUGUCGAAGAAGACAUAGAAGGAAUUCACCCAUUUCGGUAAGGUUAAACCCACCAAAUAGUCGACGACUCUCAUCGAUCUCGCAAGCGAAGGUGUUCGCUAGCCUCCAAGUACCCUAACAAGCAUACUAAAUCAGCUAAGAGUUUCAACCGAGCUUCACAUAAGAAUCUCACAUAAUCACUUCACUUAGGUAGAAUUUUACCUCGUAUAGAGUCCCAAAUUUGAGCUCCACUUCAAUUCAAGUUGGAGUACAUCAAAACCAACCUAUAAGAGUCAUUCAAACUCAGCCAAAGUGGUUUCUGUAAUCUGCUGUGAGUAAAUACCAUAAACUCCACUAAAGCAUCUAUUACAAUAUCAAAACUAGUGAAAUAGUAGCUAGUUUACCUUUCACAACUUCAACUCAGUUUCAACUGAGUUAGGAUUGAAGAAUCACAGCCAAAACACCUCUUCUAUAGCUGCUACAAACCUCCCCCAAAUCAGCUAGCAACAAAGAAGCAAGACUAAGCUCAAAUCCACUGCUACAUCUACUAAUACCUCAAAAUUAGUGAUUAGUGGAGUUUCUCACCUACAUCUACUAAUACCUCAAAAUUAGUGAUUAGUGGAGUUUCUCACCUCAACAAGCUUUAACUCAAUUUCUAGCUGAGUUAGAACUGAGAAAUGCUUCCCAAAACUCUCCUUUUCACCCUUCUAUAGCAGCUCCAAAACCCUCCAACUCAGCUAGCAUCAAGAGAGGGAAAGAAAUAAGCUCAAAUCUAUUGAUUUCCACUAAAAAUAGAAGAAAAACUAGAGAGAGAGAGAGAGAGAGAGAGAGAGAGAGAGAGAGGGAAAGGAGCUCUUACCCUAUUCUUCAGCUCAAACAUGAUAAGAACCAGCUAGGGGGUCGAGUUGGGAGGUUUAAAGAUAAGCCUCAAAAUGAAAUUACCAAGAAACCCCCUUAUCCACGCAGCUGCUAUAUUGGAUAGCGGUACUCGGGUUGAGGGGUACCGAUACUCAAUAAAAAAAAAAAUAGAUUUCGUAUUAUCCAAUGCACUUUCACUCUUCCGGCCACUUAAUCACUCAAGUAACAUGCCGAAAAUCUCUCAACAACCCCUCACAAGAUCUAGAAUAGUUUCAUUACUAUUCUAACACUCGAACUUUGCAAUUUGCUAAAGUUCAGUGUACUACAAUUUUAUUAUUUUAUUUUAUUUAUUUUAUUUAUUUUUCUAAAAGAAAUUAACAUUUCAUGCACAUAAUAUGCAUCCCACCUUAACUUACAUCGAAAAUUUAUUUAAAGGACAAAUUCGCCCUCUUAGGCUUAGUUUGGUAUUGAGGUCUAUCUAACGCUAUUAGAUAAAAUAGAGUUGAGGAAAAAACAUAAAGGGAUAUGAUUCUGUGUUCUCCGGUGGGACCGCAGAAAAUAUAUCUAACCGACUCAUCGCGAUUUGCGGAACGCAAUAUUACGUACGGAAACAAACAGAGUAUUUUUCCAAUGUACUUUCUUAUCACACGUAACACAAUCUCCCCGCAAUUCCAAACGAAGCUUUAGAUAUUUCCCUCAUCUAGAAACGACGUUCAAGUGGUUCAUUAACUUUUUUUUUUUUAAUUGACCUUUUAUUUACUUCUAGUAUAUUAAUUUAGUUCAAUUAUUAGUCAAGCUUACAAUUUUACUAAAUCUAAUAAUUUUCACCAACUUCCCUCCAUCCUCCAACGUAGUACACGCCUCGCGGUCAAAAAUAGAGAAAACAAAAAGUCUUCCAUGCAGAAAGCUCAGGAUCUAAGGUGCAAGAAGAUUAGAGUCAUGAUUCCCACCUCGAAGCCGCCUCGCCCACGACUGAUUGCACGACUUUCCGGGGCUCAAGCCGAGGUCGAUUUGGGGGCCUCCGGUUCCUUUGUAGAGACGGAUGAGAUCUCCGGCUCUUUUGCAGGACAGACUAAUGCGACACCUCCGAUGAGUGACUUGGCCUCGCCUCAGAAUAGAGACACUACCCACCCCCUUACUCCCGAUGAGAUACAGCUUAUCAAGACUGUCUGUGGUAUUUUUGAUAUAGAUGUUGGUGCGGCGCCUAUUUGUCAGAACGCUCAUGCUCGCUUUAUUGGGGCAAACUAUACAGGGGUGUAGCUUUUGUUCCUCACUGCUUGGACUUGGGAUGUUCCUCUUUUCUUUAUGGCUAGAAACAGAAUCUUUCGAUUUCUUACUUGGAAUGUACGAGGCCUCAACGACCCCUCUAAGUGUGCUGUAGUCAAUCUCUUCCUUCGGCAUUGCAAAUGCUGUGUUGUAUGUUUUCAAGAAACAAAACUUUCCUCUACUUCUAGUGCCAAGUUUCGCUCUUUUUCUGGCCUCCAUCUGCUUGAUUUUCGGACCCUAAACGCAGACAGAACUAGAGGAGGCCUGCUAACUGCCUGGAAUCCAUCUUUAUUUGAAUGUACUCAAGACUGGGCUGGCAGAUUCUCGCUGACGGUGGUGUUAAAGAGGAUUGUGGAUGGGAGGUUAGUAACAAUCUCGAACGUCUAUGGGCCUACGACAACAAACUUGCGUCCAGAUUUCUUCCUUGAGAUUCGUGCAAUUGGUGAGCGGGUGAUGGGCGCGUGGAUUGUGCUCGGUGACUUCAAUGUUCUUCUCUCCGUCCAGGACACGAAUGGACCCAAUGCAAACAUUACCGACAUUUUGAAUUUCAGAGAAGUUGUGCAUGACCUGGGGCUGCUUGACCUUCCCUUACUCAAUAAAUCCUUUACUUGGUCCAAUGGUAGGGGUGCCCCGACUCUAGAACGUCUGGAUCGCGCCUUUAUCUCCAAUUCCUGGCUCCUAGCUUUUCCCCGAUCCACUCUCCGAGCACUCCCGCGACCUCGAUCUGACCACACGCCCUUGGUACUUGCUGCCUUUACUUUUAUUCCUCACGCAAAUUUAUUCAGAUUUGAGAGCUACUGGCUGCGACACUCGGCUGUUUUCAAGGUGGUAGCCACGGCGUGGAACUCAAACUCGUUUCUGCGGGAUUCCGACCUGGUGAGCCUCUUCUCGCAGAAAAUCACUUCUGUUCAAUCGACUCUGCGUUCUUGGAGUGUGGGCCUCCCCUCAGCAUCUAAGGAACAGACCAAACUUUGUCUUCUAUGGAUCCAAUGGCUCGACAAAGCAGAAGAAGGAAGGGUCUUAUCGAACCUCGAGCGCAGCUUGAGACCGAAGCUUAAGGCUAGAUACGAAGAUCUAUGCUUACGGGAGGAGAUCAAGUAGAAGCAGAGGUCCAGAGUGCAUUGGCUCAAGGUAGGAGACGCAAAUACCAAAUUUUUUCAUCUCAAGGCAAAUGCUCGUAGGAACAAAAAAUACAUCUCCAAACUCUCUAAUGGUACUUCCACACUCUCCUCGCCCGAGCCUAUCGCGGAGCACCUAUUCUCCUUCUUUUACAACCAACUGGGGGUGACACAAGAUCCUUCGGCCAAAAUCGACCUCCAUGCUGCCUAUUGUGAUGAGACCAUUGAUCGCUCUGGCCUUCAGAGCCCGUUCACUUUACCUGAAGUUAAGAGAGCUGUUUUCUCUUGUGCUCCUGAGAAAGCCCCAGGCCCCGAUGGGCUACCGAUGCUUUUCUACCAACGGUUUUGGAACCUCCUCAAAGAUGACAUUAUGAGUGUUUCCAACUGCUUCUACAAUAACACGACUAAGCUGGACUUGAUCAAUACGACGUGGUUGUGUCUUAUUCCGAAGAAGAAGGAGGCUCUAUUCGCCAACGACUUUCGCCCUAUAAGCCUAGUACACAGCAUGGCGAAACUGAUCUCGAAGGUUCUAGCAUCAAGACUACAAAUCUUCUUACAUGAUUUACUCAACCCCUACCAAGCUGCUUUCAUCAAGGGUCGACAUAUUUUCGAUAACUUCAACUGUGCCCAUAUACUCAUCCACCACCUACAUACCGCCAAAGCCCGAGCAGCCUUGUUGAAGAUCGACUUCGAACGGGCCUUCGAUCGAAUAAAUUGGUGUUUCCUAUUCGACCUGCUACAAGCAAGGGGAUUUACUCCACGCUGGAUCUCUUGGAUCCAAGCCCUACUUCAAACAGCUAGCACGGCCGUGAUUCUCAAUGGCACUCCGGGCAAAAGGUUUACGUGUAAGAAGGGGCUGCGACAGGGCGAUCCGCUCUCUCCCCUGCUCUUUAUUUUAUGCAUAGAUGUUUUGUUCAGGUUGCUCCAGAAGGCAACGACAAGCCGCCUACUACCAGAUCUUGGGAUCGGAAACGAAAGGCUGCACACACUCCAAUUUGCGGAUGAUCUGAUUAUCUUUUUGGAUGGCUCUAUAAGGUCAGUUGCAACUACUAAGUUCAUACUUGACAUGUUUGCGGCAUGCUCGGGACUCUCAAUCAAUUUCAAUAAAAGCUCUAUCACGCCAAUCAACCUACCUACUUCCCAAUCAACAUCCCUAGCUAAUUCUAUAGGCUGCUCGGUGAAAGAUUUUCCGCUAACAUACUUGGGCUUACCUCUCUCUCCUAAAAAACUACGUAAAGCUGAUUAUAUGCCGCUUAUUGAGAGGCUUGACAAUUGUUUGGCGGGAUGGAAAGGGCUUACACUUUCAAGGGGAGGUCGACUAGUGCUUCUAAAUUCGGUUCUCUCGAGCACCCCUUUGUAUUUUUGUUCGCUGUUUCAAAUGCCGGCCUGGGUGAUAAAGUCCAUGGACAAAAUACGACGCCAUUUUUUUUGGAGGGGGCAAAAACUGCAUAAUGGCUUCCACUGCCUAGUCAAAUGGGAACAUGUAUGCCGUCCGAAACAUGCGGGCGAAUUGGGAGUCCGAAACCUUUAUGCGAUGAACUCGGCCUUACUCAUGAAGGGAUUAUGGAAUUUUUACAAUUCCCCAGACCUUCCUUGGGUCAGGCUACUCAAGCAAAAGCAUUAUAAGCUUUGACAACUGUCGAUUGGAGGUAACCCGACCAUUAGAUGUUGCCAAAUCUGGAAAGGAAUACUCAACACCGCACCUCCUUUUCAUGUGUCCACUUGUGUAUCACUGGGCAAUGAGCAGACUACCUCCUUCUGGAAUGCGAGGUGGUCCGGUGAGUUCUCACUGCGGAAUCAAUUUCCCAAUCUCUAUGCAAUUUCAACCCAUAAACAUCUCUCGGUUGCUACUUGGAUGCGAUGUUUUGCUCAAAACAUCACACUAGCCUUCCAACCUGCGGCACUCCUGCGAGAACAAAUGGAAGAGCUCCCACAACUCACAACGUUGAUCCAGAGCACUCUCCUAUCGAAUGCUAACGAUUCAACCGUUUGGCGCUGGAAUGACGAUGGCCGGUUUGAGGUACGUAGAGCUUACAACUUGCUUAUCUUCGAUGGCAGGAUUGUUUACGGCAUCCCUUUCCUCUGGAGCCUCAAGAUCCCUUUGAGAGUUAAAGUUUUUAUUUGGCUCGCCGCGAGAAACAAAAUCCUCACAGCCGACACACUAUCCAAAAGGGGCUGGCAUAGUCCUUCGAUUUUCGUUCUCUGUUCGAUCAACGGGGAGAACUUAGAACACAUCCUUUUCUCUUGCAAUUAUGCAAAGGCUGUUUGGAACCUCCUGCUGCAAUCCGCUCCAACAACUCGGCGCUUGUUGCUGACACAGCCAGGGGACUUAUUAGAGAGAUGGAAUCGUGCUCGAUACUCUGUGAGGGGCCGGGGGAAAAAAUUGUUCGAUCUAUGCUUCUCGACAGCUUGCUGGGAACUGUGGAAGGAGAGAAACAAUCGUAUAUUCAGUGGACAACUUACUCGAAGCGACGAAACAGGAAUGAGAGUGGCUAACACAAUGAAUCUUUGCCAACAUGCGCUAGGAGUAUGAUUACAUAAAAGGGCGAACUUCCUUGUGGGGCGAAUUUCCAUGUGGUUCCUUGGACACUUUCGGGCAGCUUUCUACUUGUAUCUUUCUGUGUUUCUUCACGCACGCUUAUUCUUGUAUCUUUCGGCUUAAAGCCUCACGGCAACUUGGUCACAUCUGUAGACCCCUCAUCUUGUAACACAAAUAGGGUAAAUCCCUGUUUACUCAAAAAAAAAUAAUUUUCACCAACUAUUGUUAAAAGGCUUGCGCCCUAUGAUUUAAAGGAAAAUACAUAUACGUAUAGCACUAAUUAAGUGUAGUUAUAUGAAUAUUGAAUGAAAUUAUAUUAAAAGGAGUAGAUCAAAUCAUAUAAAAAAUGGAUAAAAUCAAAUGAAAAUACGAGAUAUAAUACAAUAUUAAAGGGUUCGAAUACAGUACAAAAACAUAAGCUAGUAGAUCAAGAAAUUGCUAACAUUACAUGCAAAAAAAAGGGCUUAGUACACUAUAAAAGCUAUUUUUUGAAAAUUAAAAUAGCUAGUCACUCUAGAUCAAAAUAUAAAAGGCAUUUUUUUAUAAUUUUUCGAACUUAUUUGAAUAGUGUUUACCCAUUAAAUUAACAACUCUGUCAAAUCAAACGUUAAAUUUGAGGUGACUUGAUAAAUGAGGAGAAUAUAGUAAAAUUUCAUAAAUUUUGGUUUGUGGUAAUAUCAAAUAUUCUAAAAUAUGUCUAAUGAUUUCGAUCGUCAAAUCAAACUCUUUAAAAUUGAUUUUGAGAAGAACAAGGUCCAACUCAAAUGUGAGGCCACGCAUUAUAUCACCGGAUGAUCUUAGACAGUUAUGUGAUUGGGCUGACUAGAAUGUCAUCGCGUAAAUAGGUGGAGUGAUACUAUAAAUAGUACCAUAUAGGAUAGGAACGAAAUUAUGAUGAAAUAUAUAAAGGCUAAAUUACAGAAAACCUCCCUGUAAUAACUUGCUUUUUCACUUCUCUCCCCUGACAUUUAAAAACCUACACUUUGCCCCCCUGUAAAAUGAGAAAUAUUCACAGGAGGGUUACGGUGUGUAAAAUGACCAUUUUGCCCCUCGCCAUUGUCGUCUUCUUUCCCAUCUUCCUCAGCCGCCCCUUCAUUCGGCCGCGAUUCCCACCUCAAUCGGCCGCAAUUUCUCUCCAUUUCCUUCUCUACCUGCUUCCCUUCUCCUCCUGCACCCUCGCCGCCCUCGAUUUCGGCGACAGUAGGAGAAAACCGAGGUGGGCGACAGUAGGAGAAGGGCAAAGAAGGCGAAGGCGAGGCGGCGGAGGACGGCGAAGGGGAUGUGGGUGAGGGCGAGGCAGUGGAGGACGGUGAGGCGGCUAGGCGGCGAGGCGGCGAGGCGACGGCGAGGUGGCGAGCCGGAGGGAGUCGAAGCAACAGGGAGAUGGCAGAGGGGUAUUUUCGGUAUAAAAAUAUAUUUUUUAAUGGAACCCUGACGGAAUUCUAACGGUAGGGGGUGAAGUGCACAUUUUUUAUUUUACAGGGGGGCAAAGUGUAGAUUUUUAAAUAUCAGGGAGGGAAAGUGAAAAAGCAAGUUAUUAUAAGGGGAUUUUCUGUAAUUUAGCCAUAUAUAAAUGACUAUGGACUCUAUUAAUAAUAAUUAAAUUUAAGUAUUUGUGCCGGUAAUUUAGACUUAAUAAAUUAUUAUUAUUAGCGAGUUGGACGUUACCUCAAAUUUUCUCAAAAGGUUGACUAAAUUUCAAGAAAAUGUGCAAUAAAAUAGAAUAUCUAUUAUUUUUUUUAAAGGAGGACUACUAAAGGCAUGGUGUGCAUCACGAUCGGAGCUUUACCUUUUAGCGGCAAUUUAAUGGUGGCAAUUUUUGAACAGCCUCCUCCUCCGAGAGCGCGGCGGCGUCGUCGUCGGCGGCGGCGCUCCGACGACCUCCCUCCGCCGCCACAUGCCAAUGACAGGGUCGGUGCUCCGCUAGGCGCCAAGGGCUGGGCCGACGAACCCGGGUUUCACUGGUGGAAGGAUAAAGAGGCCGAGAUCCUCAGCGACAUCGAGCCCAUCAUCGCCCGGGUUUGGUUAUUGUUUUCGUUUUGGAAUCUUGGCUCUAUUCUCUGCUACUAUUUGAGGAUCCUCUGCUUGCUUGUCUCUUCCCUUUUGCUAUGUAGGAAAGCUGAAAGAGAUCACAUUCUAGAAAAUUUGUAUUUGACCUGGCUCUGUUAUAUGCAUCUUUCACUUGAUCCAUAUUUAUACAAGCAAUUACAUACCUCAGUCUCACAUUUGUUCCAUUAUAGGAUUCACAAGGCAUCUUAAUAGAAGAGAACUCAAAUGGGUAUGUUUUCUUUUCAUAGAUUUCACAAGGAACAUCUAAUUCACCCACUGCAGAGAAGAACAAUAAUACAUUCAACAUAGGAAGAUACUGUAGAAAGCAAUGAGAAUAUUGAAAUGAUUGAUUAGAAUUUUGGACCUAUCUAAAGCAUUUGACACUAGAUUGAAGUUCUAGCAGUGAACUUCUCAUAUUUGACAUUUCCUCCGGCAAACGCUGUAUUGUUACGAAAAGUAUGCUGGCACUGUAUGGAAUACUACAAUAAACUGAAAUUAUGGCAAAGUAGAAGUUAUGGCACUGUAUGGAAGAUAGAAUUUAAGAUACCAUGAGUGGCAGCCAGAUAAACAUCUAGAGGGUAGUAAACUUUAUUCGAAGAAGACAGCACCUAUAUAUGUGAGCAGUUAUUUCAAAGAGAACUAGUGAACCACAUGAUAUGGUUGGUGCAUCUAGAUGGCUUCCAUAUUGCUUAACAAGAGAAUAAAAUCAAUUCCUACAGGUAUGAGACAAAAAAAUCAACUCCUAGACUCCUAAUAAUCAUUGCUGAUGGUCUUCGUUUCAGUAUAUAUAUGCAACUGAAACUGCAUUUUCGCCUAUAGCAGAUCCAUCUAGUCAUUAAUAAACAAAUCAAAGGAAGUAUUACAUAUAUUGGAGGAUAUCACAAUAUAAACAGCAUAUGAACUGAUCUACUUAUGCCAUGAGGGGGAGAUAUUGAAGACUAUUUAGAUAAUAAAAACGUAAAACUGAUAGAGCACCAGAGCAAUGAAAGCAAUUCUUCUUUUUUUUUUUUUUUUUUUUUGAUUAAACAGGGAUGAACCCUAUUUACAGAAGCGUUUAGACGAAAACAAAUCACGAGUAAUGAUACCCGAGCACACCCCCAUGCACGAUACAGAGAAUAUCCCAAUCCCACCCUCGGCACUAGCUCUAACAAAGCAGAUCCCGCGCACACCUCCAGACAAAAACACAAGCACACUAGCACAAGCACAACUAGCACACCUAUAACCUAGUUGACAGAGGUAAAGAACACCAUUUUCCAAUAAGAUACAGUUUGAAGAAUGUUUGAACCCAGUGUCUCGUAGCGGGUUCGACGAUUGUCGAAUAGUCUUCUAUUACGCUCCUUCCAAAUCUCCCAAUAGGCUGCUGCGAUUCCGAGGUCGAGAGUGGUUCGAUUUUCACCUGAGACCGUUCGCCGCAAUCGACGCCAUCGUGUUGCAAGUCCUUCAGUUGUGUUGCUUCUCCAAUCUAGGUUGAAAGUGAGUCUAUUUGUUAACCAAUCCCACACAGAAACUGCAUAGAAGCAGUAAUGCAUAAUAUGCUCGACGGGCUCCGCAUCGGAGUGACAGAGGGUGCAGAUUGUCGGGCCAUACCAACCAUGUUUGAGAAGGUUGUCAGCCGUAAGAAGUUUGUUCCGAUCAGCAAGCCAUAGGAAAAUCUUAACUCUGAGAGGAAUUUUGAGGUUCCAAAGGAAAGGGAAAUUGCAGUUGUUGAUGCCAUCAAACAAAAGAAAUUCUGCCGCGCUGUGUACCGAGAACUUUCCCGAGCUGUUCCAUCUCCAAGAUAGCUCGUCGUGUUUGUUGGUUGAGAGGACUAAGUUAUUAGACACCGCCGCUAAGUCAUGAAUUUCUGAUAGCUCUUGUGGACCGCUAAGAGAGUCGAACCCCAGAUUCGGCUGAUUAGAGAAGCAGCGACACCAGGUAUUGACUGUCAUAAUAGAAUUGGCAGAAGCAGCAUAGAGAAUAGGAAAGCGGUUUCUUAGUUGUAUGUCUCCACACCAUCUCGUGGACCAAAAGGGCGUAUCCUUAUCGUCGCCAAGGAUGAAAUCAACAGAGGUGAGGAAAGGGGCAUAGAGUUUAAGCAUGUAUUUCCAGAUCGGGCAGCAUCCGUAAGGAAUGAAGCUAGCUGAAGCAGCUGGUCUCCGUCUAUAGUGUUCCUGCUUCAAAAGCCGCACCCAUGGUAACGAGCCGCAGUUAUGGAACUUCCAAAGCCCCUUCAUCAAUAUGGCCGAGUUUAUAGUUUUAAGCUUGUAGAUCCCUAUCCCCCCCUGCUCUUUUGGGGCGACAUACAUGAUCCCAAUUAGCAAGACAAUGGAAACCGCUCGUAGUAGACUUGCCUUUCCAGAAGAAGCCUCGACGAAUCCUGUCGAUCGCACGCAUCACCCAAGCUGGAAGAGCAAAUGCGGAGCAAAAAUAAAUUGGCAAAGGCGGAGAGGACCGAGUUCAGCAGAAUUAAGCGCCCACCUCUGGAUAGAGUGGCACAUUGCCAACCGGACAAGAUCUCGUGUCCAAUGGCUACGGGAAGGGGAUGCAAACACGAAGUUCUUCCACCUCCGGGCUAGCUGCCACAGAAGCGCGAACUUUAUCUCUCAGCUUUCGGACGGUACACAUCCCCUAUCCUCUUCUGAUUCUAUUGCUAAUCACCUGCGCUCCUUCUACCUUAAUCUGAUUGGCUCCGAGCAACCACCCACCUCUUCUGUCAACUUUUCUGCUAUUUUCAACGAAGUAGGCUGCGACCUCUCCUCCCUUCACGGUCCUUUCUCGGUUGAAGAAGUGAAGUCUGCUAUCUUUGCUUGUGCACCGGACAAGGCUUCGGGACCGGACGGUUUCCCCUUGCUUUUCUACCACCGGUUCUGGUCAAUCCUGAAGAAUGAUAUCAUGGAAGUCUUUGACAGCUUCUAUAAUGGCUCAUCGGAUCUUCGUGGAAUCAGCACCAGCUGGAUCUGCCCGAUUCCUAAGAAACCGACGGUGUUGACGGCUAGAGAUCUACGUCCGAUCAGUUUAGUUUACAGCUUGGCCUAAAUACUUUCCAAAGUAUUGGCUUCUCGGCUUCAACCCUUCAUGAAUCAGCUCAUCAACCCUUAUCAGGCAGCCUUCAUCAAGGGCCGUUACAUUUUAGACAACUUCUGUUGUGCGCACAUCCUAACUCACCACCUCCAUGCCUCUAAACGUCAUGCGGCUCUCUUAAAGAUCGACUUCGAACGAGCUUUUGAUCAUAUCAACUGGAGCUUUCUCUUCGAUCUCCUCAACGCCAGGGGUUUUAGCGACAAGUGGAUUGGUUGGAUCAAAGCUCUCCUGAGCUCUAAUACGUCGGAUGUGCUCCUCAACGGUGAUCCGGGCAGGUCGUUCUCCUGCAAACGUGGGCUUAGACAGGGAGACCCUCUGUCCCCACUUCUUUUCGUACUUUGUAUUGAUGUGCUUUUCAAACUGAUCGAGAAUGCUGUCCGUGCCGACUGCAUCCCUGCCGUCGGAAUAGGUGAUGUUAAAAUUCACUCUCUCCAAUUCGCGGACAACGUCCUCCUCUUCUUUGAUGGCUCUAUCAGAUCUGCGGAUAUUAUAAGGAUUCUACUUGAAGCCUUCUCUGCAUGUUCCGGGCUCAAAAUCAACUUCGGCAAAAGCUCCUUGGCUCCGAUCAACCUCCCUACGGAACAGGCUGCUGCUAUAUCUAGUAUACUUGGAUGUCCUUUGCAGCAGUUCCCUUUGCCAUACCUUGGAUUACCUCUCUCCCCUAGGUCCCCUCGACGCGUCAAUUACCUGCCGAUCAUUGAGAAAAUCGAUAAUGAAAGCAAUUCUAAGUUAAGUCAAAUAAGACAAACUUUUUCGCUUUUCACUCAAACUAGACAUGGAAAACAUUGUUAGAUCUUGUAAAGCAACGACAACAAAACUAGUUAUAUGAUUUCAGUUUUCAUGAUGUUAGUUAAUUUUUUUUGUCCUUGUUGAGGGCUAAAGUGAAGCAAACAUGGAAGUUUUGGGAUCUUGAAUGUCAAACUUUAAGUUCAAGGAUCAAAAUGAAACUUGACCAAAAGUACCUGGAUUACUAGUACGAAUUAGUCAACUUUAUUAUAGUUAUACGACCUAUAUAUAUUAGUGCUAUUAUAUUUAUAUGUGGUACAUAUCUUACAGUUCAAUAUUAUGGAAGAACCAAGAAAACUUUCAGGCUGCGUUUGAUUGGAGAACUAAAUUUUGGAGAACAACUUUUGUUGUUCCCGAGAACAAGGGAUAUUCUGGUACAAGAUAGAACAAUUGUAAAUUUAUGUUUGGAUGCAUUCGAGGAUAUUCUAAAGGAUAUCCUUAAUAGCGUUUGGAUAAAAAGUCUAGAACAACGUCUAAAUAUAUUUUUAAAAAUAAAAUAAUUAAUUUAUAUUAGUAUAUUUUAUAUAAAAUUAUUUAUAAAAUUAUUUCAUAUAGUAAUUUAUAAUAUAAUAUUUUAUGUAAGAAUCUAAUUUAAAAUAAUAUAUUUUAUUUUAUUAUAUAUAAUAAUUUAUUUUAUGUAAUCAUUUAUUUUAUAUAAUUUAUUCAUAAUAUAUUAAUGAAUAAAGUAUAAUACUAACAAUAUCCCUAUAUUUUUAAUUAAUAAUUAGUAUAAAUUUCAAUACAAAUAAAAAAAUAUAUAUAAUUAAAUAUUAAAGUAUAAAUGAUAAAGUUUAAUAAAAUAAAAAAUAUAUCAAAUUUAAUUAAUUUAUAUUAUAUAAUAAAAUUUAAGUAUAAAUAUAUUAUCAUAAAAAUUUAAGUAUGAAUUUCAAUACAUAUUAAAAUAUAUAUAUAAUAUAUGAAAAAAUAAUUUUAUGUAUAUAAUACUUAAUAUAAAAUAAAAUAAUUAAAUAUUAAUAUAUAAAUGAUAAAACUUAAUAAAAUAAAAAAUAUAUCAAAUUUAAUUAAUUUAUAUAAUAUAAUAAAAUUUAAGUAUAAAUAUAUUGUCAUAAAAAUAAUAUUUAUAUUAAUAUAUGUAUUAUUUAUUAAAUUUGAGCAUUUAUUUAAUUUAUUUGAAAUUAAUUAAAAUAAAGUAUAAAAAAAAUAAAAUGGCAUAAAAAGAAAAAAAGAGACAAAAAAAAUAAGUUCCGGCUUGUUCUCCAUUUCAUGGAGAACAAUCUUAACGGGUUGUUCCCGGAACAACCCGUUAAGCCUGGAACAACCGGGUUGUUCCAUUUUGCAUUGCGUUUGGAGGGACAACGGGGAUAUCCGGCCUUGUUCUGAGAUAUACUUCCAACCAAACGCAGCCUCAGUGAU